rnacentral:lncRNA from 1 species
CAAUUCAAGAAACUAUGCCGGGAGAGGCUUUUCUUGUGGCAUUCCUCCAAGUGCUGGUUGACAAGUUGGCGCAACGUGAGGUCUUGAAGUACUUUGGACUCGUAAAGGGCGUCGAUCAAAACCUGAAGAAAUGGAGUGCCACCUUGUCUGCAAUUGGAGCGGUUCUGAAUGACGCGGAGGAAAGGCAACUGAUGGCUGAGAGCAACGCACUGAAGCUCUGGCUCGAUGAUCUCAAGGACUUGGCUUUUGAUGCGGAAGACAUGUUGGAUAAAUAUCAUACUAAAAUGUUGAAACGUCAGAUACAACAUGCUCAUUCCAGCACAAGAAGCAAAGCAUGGAAAUCAAUUCCUAAUCGUGUUUUCAACUUCAAAAUGAACUCGGAAAUACAGAAGAUUUCCGAGCGAUUACAAGAGAUAUCUGAAAGAAAAGACCAGCUUAGUUUGAAAAUUGAUACUAGGACAUUGACUACAAAGGCACGCCAACACAUAUCGCCGAGUACUAGUCUACCAGAUGGACCUGUGAUUGGAAGGGAUGAGGACAAAGGGAAGAUUGUUGAGCUGCUGUCGAAACAAGAGCAUCGGGCUGUCAAUUUCGAGGUAGUUGCAAUUGUCGGUAUGGCUGGAGUCGGAAAGACAACACUUGCUGGACAAGUACUUAAAGAUAUGGUUGCAACCCAAAUGUUUCAACCAGCCGUUUGGGUGUGCGUAUCUGACGACUUCAACCUUGAAAGAGUGACAAAGCAAAUUCUUGAAUCAAUCACAUCUCGGCAAUGUACCACAGAAGAUUACAAUAAGGUUCAAAAUGAUUUGCAUAAGAAGUUAGCGGGGAAAAAGUUUUUAAUUGUUUUAGACGAUGUUUGGAAAACGUGUAGCUACGGUGAAUGGAAGAAGCUGCAGUCCACUUUUCAUGAUGGAGCACAAGGAAGCAAGAUAGUUGUGACAACACGUGAUACAGAUGUUUCAAAAAUGAUGGGAGCUGCCACGCUGGUUCACAAUUUGGUGCCUAUGGAAAAUCAUUUUUGUUUACAAGUAUUUGAGCAGCAUGCAUUCUUAAAUUCUAACGACAAGCCAUCAAAUUACGAGUUACUUAAGGAGAAAAUUGUUGCAAAGUGUAGGGGAUUGCCUUUGGCCGCGAGGACCCUUGGUGGUGUUCUACUUCGUAGAGAAAUAGACGAAUGGGAAGAACUAUUGAACAACAAGUUGUGGAGUCUCUCAAAUGAGCAUGACAUACUUCCUGUGUUGAGACUAAGUUACUUUUAUCUUCCUUCACAUUUGAAAAGAUGCUUUGCCUAUUGCUCAAUAAUUCCAAAUGACUAUGAAUUCGGGGAGAUGCAAAUGAUCCUUCUGUGGAUGGCCGAGGGUUUGAUUCAUCCUCAACCAGAAGAUAAUAAGCAAAUUGAAGAUUUAGGUGCUGAUUAUUUUCGGGAGCUCGUAUCUAGGUCAUUGUUUCAAAAGUCAACCAAAAAUACUUCAAAAUAUGUGAUGCAUGACCUCAUUGGUGAUUUAGCACGAUGGGCAGCUGGAGAUAUUUGUUUUAGAUUGGAGGAUAAGCAAAAUGAUGAUGGUGUACAACUUAGAUGUUUUCCGAAGGCUCGCCAUUCGUCUUACAUUAUCGGUCGUUAUGAUGGGGUUAAAAGAUUUGAGGCAUUUUCUGAAGUGAAAUGUAUGCGAACCUUCUUGCCACUCAGAAAGGGUUCUGCCUACAAUUAUUUAAGCCAUCAGGUUACUUCUGAUUUAUUGCCAAAAUUGCAGUACUUGCGGGUGCUUUCUUUUAAUGGCUAUAGAAUAACUGAGCUGCCAAACUCAAUUGGUGAUUUGACAUAUCUACGGUAUCUUGACCUUUCCUACACAGCUAUAAGUAGUUUGCCUAAAUCGAUAAGUACUCUUUACAACUUGCAGACAUUGAUAUUGGAAUGCUGUUACGGUUUGAAGUCAUUGCCUGCAGACAUGAGUAAUCUAAUUAAUUUGCGCCAUCUCAACAACUCAGAUGUAUCUUCGUUGGAAGGAAUGCCUCUAAAACUAGGUAGAUUGGUGAAUCUCCAAUCUUUGCCUAAUUUUAUGGUCAAUGCUGGAAGUGAUCAAUCAAGAAUACGAGAGAUGGGGCCCCUAUCGCAUCUCCGAGGGACAUUGUGCAUCUCAAGAUUGGAGAAUGUGACUGAUGUUGAGGAUGCUCAAGGGGCCAACUUAAAAUACAAGGCGAGGCUUGAUUCGUUGGUCCUAAAAUGGUCUCAUUCAAGUGACACAAGAGAAAUGGAAUCUGCUGUGCUUGACAUGUUAGAGCCUCAUAGAAAGAUCAAGGAGCUCACCAUCAAGAGUUAUGCCGGCAAGGAAUUUUGAACAUGGGUUGGAGGUCAUUUGUUCUCCAAUAUGGUGCUUGUGCGCUUAGAGGAAUGUAAUAAUUGUUUGUCGUUGCCACCUCUUGGACAAUUGCCUCUACUCAAAGAACUUUAUAUUAGAGGAAUGAAUGCAGUGGAAAGUGUUGGUGCUGAGUUUUAUGGAGAUCGUAACUUGCCCUUUCGGGUAUUAGAGACUCUUGAGUUUGUGGAAAUGCAGCAUUGGAAAGAAUGGCUUCCUUUCCAACUGGAUCAUGAAAGUGGUGUUUUCCCUUACCUGAAAACACUCUUAGUAAAAAAAUGUUCUAAACUGGAGGGUAAGCUGCCAGAGAACCUCAAUUCUUUAGCUAAGCUUGAAAUUGUUGUUGAAAAAUUGUUGAAUGUGAAGAAUUAGUGGUUUCAACUGCCAACUACAAACGACUUUGUCAAUUAAACAUUGACGGUUGUGAAGUGUUGGUGCAUACAGCUGCUAAGGUUGAGUUUGAGUUAUUAGAGUCUUUGUGCCUUUCAAACAUUUCGGAGGUGAUGUCUCUGCAAACAGGGGAUUUGUUCAACAAGGGAUUAACCAAGGUUAGAGAUUUGAAGAUUAAUGGAUGUGAGGAGGUGAUAUCUUCAUUGAAGAAUGAGGGUAGAUUAUUUCAACAGUUGACUUCUCUUGGCCGUUUGGAAAUCGAAGACAACUCUCCUCUAGUUGAAGAAUUGGGAAAAGAAGCAGAGGAAUUGCAAAUAUUGGAGUGUAGGAUUGAAUGUCUAGAGUUAAACAACAACAACAACAACAACAAAGCCUUUUCCCACUAAGUGGGGUCGGCUAUAUGAAUCCUAGAACGCCAUUGCGCUCGGUUUUGUGUCAUGCCCUCCGUUAGAUCCAAGUACUCUAAGUCUUUUCUUAGAGUCUCUUCCAAAGUUUUCCUAGGUCUUCCUCUACCCCUUCGGCCCUGAACCUCUGUCCCGUAGUCACAUCUUCGAACCGGAGCGUCAGUCGGCCUUCUUUGCACAUGUCCAAAUCACCAGAGCCGAUUUUCUCUCAUCUUUCCUACAAUUUCGGCUACUCCUACUUUACCUCGGAUAUCCUCAUUCCCAAUCUUAUCCUUUCUCGUGUGCCCACACAUCCCACGAAGCAUCCUCAUCUCCGCUACACCCAUUUUGUGUACGUGUUGAUGCUUCACCACCCAACAUUCUCUGCCAUACAACAUCGCUGGCCUUAUUGCCGUCCUAUAAAAUUUUCCCUUGAGCUUCAGUGGCCUACGACGGUCACACAACACGCCGGAUGCACUCUUUCCAUCCAGCUCGUAUUCUAUGGUUGAGAUCUCCAUCUAAUUCUCCGUUCUCUUGCAAGAUAGAUCCUAGGUAACGAAAACGGUCGCUUUUUGUGAUCUUCGCUAGAUUGCUCCGGUCAUUAGUGUGGAUAAGUAUAUAAAUGGAUAGAGAUAGGAAAGCAAACACAAGAUGUACGUGGUUCACCCAGAUUGGCUGCGUCCACGGAAUAGAAGAGUUCUCAUUAAUUGGGAAGGGUUUACACAAGUACAUAGGUUCAAGCUCUCCUUUAGUGAGUACGAGUGAAUGAUUUAGUACAAAUGACAUUAGGAAAUAUUGUGGGAGAAUGAUCUCGUAAUCACGAAACUUCUAAGUAUCGGAGUGUGGUGUCGUCUUGACUUGCCUUAUCUGUCUCAUAGGUAGAUGUGGCAUCUUCUCUGGAAGUACUCUUCCUCCAUCCAGGGGUGGUAUCUUUAACUGGUGGAGAUGCACAAGGUAAUGUAUCAAUUUCAUUUGAAGCUUACUUGUAGUUUCAGGCUUGGUCAAGCGCGAUACAAACCAUGUAGUAGGAGUCCCCCAAGUCGCCGAGCUAGGGGGUCUGCUGAAAGCGUUGACAGACAAGGUAAGCAAUCAGAGCUCCGACUGAUUGUUCACCUUCUCCCCAUCUUGCAGCAGCAUGAAGGAUAAAGAGAAGAAAAAUGAGAAGAGAUGAUAUGAGAUACUUUUGCUUUUGAAGAAGUAACUUUCCACAGGCUUAUUCUUGAACUGAGCUGGAGGGUUUUCUGGUUUCCUCCAGAGUAUAAGGCCGACUGAAGAAUUUGAGGGUCAAAACAAGUCCAUCAAAUCUAGAGUACGUUCCACCCUGCUGAUAUGGGAUACUUUUGCUUUUGACAGAGUAAUGGAUGUAUCGGCACGUGUGCUGUUACGCUUGUCUCCACAUGCUUCCUUGUAUCCUUCGCACUUGCCCUAUCUGUUCCUCAAGCAGAUGCGGAAUCUUCCCUGGAAACAUAAGAUGAUGAAGAUGAGUACUCGAGAGCAAUGCCAGGUAAGUAAUCAGGUAAGGGGUUCCAGGCAGUCAGUUCCUGGCUGGAAGCUUGAUUCCAAGUGCUGACUGAUUGCUCUCUUUCUCCUUGUCUUGCAGGUAAAAACAAGGCCAAAAGAAAAAACAGGGAAAAAGCAUGAUAUGGGAUACUCUUGCUUUUAACCCUGAUGAUAUGAGAUAUUCUUGCUCUAGUAUAGCUUGUUUGCAGAGGUAUUAUCGGGGGGAAAGAAAGCUGAAUAUUUCGAAAGGCUUUGUUGGGAGUGCCCUCUCAGAUAUGAUGAAGGGUUGAGCAUUUUUGCAGGUCUGCCUGUCCGUUGGGGAUGGAGGUCGACAUAUAUAGGCGUCUCCCUAACAACAAGUAGUAAUGCUAUUCCUUUACCCUGCUUGGUCAUAGCACGGUAGUGGGAGCUGCCAGUUUCACAUGUUUUAACUCUGUCAGAGCACUUUGAAAAAGUGGUCUGUGGUAUCUGGCUCUCGAGAUUCGGAGAACGAUGCCUCUUCGAUUUUUGAGAAAGCAAUUAUGCUGGGGGUCUGACUCUCGAGAUUCGGAGAGCAGUGUCUCUUCGAUUUUUGAGGAAGUAAUCAUGUUGGGAGUCUGGCUCUCGAGAUUCGGAAGACGGUGCCUCUUCGAUUUUGGAGCAAGCAAUCUUGUUGGGAGUGUUGUCUCGAAUGUGAGUAAAGGUUGGACAUGUUUGCUAGUCUACCUUGCCACGAAGCACAAAGGUUGACACACAGGGACUUUCCAAUUAUCCAGCAAUGGUACUGUUCCUUUACCCUCUCUUCGAUUUUGAGAAAGUAGUCAUGUUGGGAGUCUGGCUCUCGAGAUUCGGAGGACGGUGCCUCUUCGAUUUUGGAGCAAGCAAUCUUGUUGGGACUGUUUUCUCGAAUGUGAGUAAAGGUUGGGCAUGUUUGCUAGUCUACCUUGCCACGAAGCACAGAGGUUGACACACAGGGACUUUCCAAUUAUCCAGCAGUGGUACUGUUCCUUUACCCUUGUGGGUAAUAAUAUGGUAGCUAGACCUUCAAAAUUUAUGUGUCUAAACUUUGUUAGUGCCGUUUCUUUGCUAUUCUUUUACCUUUCUUGGUCAGAGCGAUGUAGUGGGAGCUGCAAGCUUCACGUGCUCAACUUUGGCAGAGAACUUUGGCAAAGUGAUCUGUGGUACCCAUGAGUUAUUGUUGCGUGUGGGAAGUGGGUGAUUGAACAGUAAGAUUCAUGUGCUUUCUACUUCACCAGAAGUCUUCGACAGAAUGCCCAUAAUUUCUGCAAAGCUGAGUGUGCGUGUGACAGGUGCUGACAAGGCUAGAAAAGUAGGUGCCUCUUCGAUUUCUGAGAUCGGCCCUCGUGGUCUCUGAGCAGCCCAGCUUUUGAGAAAGCGAGCGCCUCUUCGAUUGAUUCGGAGAAUGGUGCCUCACCGAUUUUUGAGAAAGCAAUCAUGCUGGGGGUCUGGCUCUCGAGAUUCGGGGAGCAGUCUCUUCGAUUUUUGAGAAAGUAAUCAUGUUGGGAGAGUGGCUCUCGAGAUUCGGAGGGCGGUGCCUCUUCGAUUUUGGAGCAAGCAAUCUUGUUGGGAGUGUUUUCUCGAAUGUGAGUAAAGGUUGGGCAUGUUUGCUAGUCUACCUUGCCACGAAGCACAGAGGUUGACACACAGGGACUUUCCAAUUAUCCAGCAAUGGUACUGUUCCUUUACCCUCUCUUCGAUUUUUAAGAAAGUAGUCAUGUUGGGAGUCUGGCUCUUUAGAUUCGGAGGACGGUGCCUCUUCGAUUUUGGAGCAAGCAAUCUUAUUGGGAGUGUUUUCUCGAAUGUGAGUAAAGGUUGGGCAUGUUUGCUAGUCUACCUUGCCACGAAGCACAGAGGUUGACAUACAUGGACUUUCCAAUUAUCCAGCAGUGGUACUGUUCCUUUACCCUUGUGGGUAAUAAUAUGGUAGCUAGACCUUCAAAAUUUAUGGGUCUAAACUUUGUUAGUGCUGUUUCUUUGCUAUUCUUUUACCCUUCUUGGUCAGAGCGAUGUAGUGGGAGCUGCAAGCUUCACGUGCUCAACUUUGGCAGAGAACUUUGGCAAAGUUAUCUGUGGUACCCAUGAGCUUAUUGUUGCGUGUGGGAAGUGGGUGAUUGAACAGUAAGAUUCAUGUGUUUUCUACUUCCCCAGAAGUCUUUGACAGAAUGCCCAUAAUUUCCGCAAAGCUGAGUGUGCGUGUGACAGGUGCUGACAAGGCUGGAAAAGUAGGUGCCUCUUCGAUUUCUGAGAUCGGCCCUCGUGGUCUCUAGGGAGCCCAGCUUUUGAGAAAGCGAGCGCCUUUUCGAUUUCUGAGAUCGGCCUUCGUGGUCUUUGAGCAGCCCAACUUUUGAGAAAGCAAACGGCUCUUCGAUUUCUGAGAUCAACCCUCGUGAUCUCUAAGCAGCCCAACUUUUGAGAAAGCAAACGCCUCUUCGAUUUCUGAGCAGGCGCCUCUUUGAUUUCUGAAGCUCCGUCGAGUGCAGAUUUUUAUAGAGGCUGGCAUUAAGUUCCAAAGCACACUUGAAUCUCCACCAGUAGAAGCUUCAUUCUUGCACUUCUAAGAUCUUGAUUUGUCCGACCUCUUCUCUCUUCAACACCUUUGAAAAUGUCUGGCCCUCCGACCGUCGUUUUGACUUGAACCUUGUUGAAGAGGCAGCCCCGCCUUCUCCAGACAACAUAUGGCGCCCAUCCUUUGUCUCCCCAACUGGUCCUCUUACCGUUGGGGAUUCCGUGAUGAAGAAUGAUAUGACCGCUGCGGUGGUGGCCAGGAACCUUCUCACUCCCAAAGAUAACAGACUACUUUCCAAACGGUCUGAUGAGUUAGCUGUUAAGGAUUCGCUGGCUCUCAGUGUUCAGUGUGCAGGUUCUGUGUCUAAUAUGGCCCAACGCCUAUUUGCUCGAACCCGCCAAGUUGAAUCAUUGGCGGCUGAAGUAAUGAGUCUCAAACAGGAGAUUAGAGGGCUCAAGCAUGAGAAUAAACAGUUGCACCGGCUCGCACAUGACUAUGCUACAAACAUGAAGAGGAAGCUUGACCAGAUGAAGGAAACUGAUGGUCAGGUUUUACUUGAUCAUCAGAGAUUUGUGGGUUUGUUCCAAAGGCAUUUAUUGCCUUCGUCUUCUGGGGCUGUACCGCGUAAUGAAGCUCCAAAUGAUCAACCUCUGAUGCCUCCUCCUUCUAGGGUUUUGUCCAGUACUGAGGCUCCAAAUGAUCCCCCUCCGGUGCCUUCUCUUUCUGGGGCUCUACCGACUGCUGAGACUUCUCCUAAGCAACCUUUGUGAAGGCUCCCUCUGUGUGUUUAUUUUGACUCAUGUAUAUGUACAUAUUUGUAGCUUAUCGGGGAUAUCAAUAAAUAAGCUUUCCUUCAUUUCAACGUAUUGUGUUAAAUACACCAAAGCAACCAAAAGGGUUAAAUCAGUUGUCAUCUCUUCAAAAGCUUGGCAUACAUGAAUGUUCACAUCUAGUUUCUUUCCCAAAUGUUGGUCUGCCACCUUCUCUUAAAGACAUCGAGAUGACAUCGUGCGAUUCGUUGAUAUAUUUUACAAAAUUCCAGAUUCCCCAAAAUCUCAGAAGAAUAGAGAUAAGAGAGUGCAAAAAUUUGAAAUCACUAGUAGAUGAGGAGGCUGUUGGUUCUUCUUGGUCGUCUUAUUCUCAUAGUUGUCUUGAGUACUUGUUUAUCGAUGGAUGUGAAUCUCUGACGUCGUUAUCAUUGAGUGGCCAGCUUCUCAGGACACUUAAACACCUUCAGACAUACAGAUGUAAACAACUGGAGCUAAUCGCAGAGGACGGGUCCUUCAACGACAACACCAAUCACUGCCUUGAAUAUAUUGAGAUCUGGAAUUGCCAAAAUCUGAAAUCCUUACCGGAUGGAUUAUGCCACCUCAGCAAUCUUCAAAAGCUACAUAUUGAAAGAUGUGGAAGUCUUGUUUCCAUCCCGAGACUGAGUGGGGGGAGAAGACCCUCCAACCUGAGAAAUAUCUGUAUCAUCUAUUGCGAGAAAUUGGAGGCGUUGCCCGAAGACAUGCACAAUCUCAACUCUGUUGAGGAAUUGAGAAUUGACUACCAUGAAGGUUUGACUUUUCCUCCCAACCUAACAUUACUUCAUAUUUGGAAGGUCAAGAGUUGUAAGUCAUUGUGGGAGUUGGAGUGGGGGUUGCACAGACUCACCUUUCUUAGCAAGUUGGGGAUCUAUGGUGAUGACCCGGGUACGAUGUCGUUUCCACCCGACAUGGUCCGCAUGGAGACGCUCCUCCCUAAAUCUCUCGCUCAUCUCUCAAUACAUAGCUUCCCGAAUCUGAAGAAAUUGAGCGGCAAAGGCUUUCAAUUCCUCACCUCCCUUCAAUCUCUUAGACUCUGGAAUUGUCCAAAGCUAGCAUCCAUUCCAGAUGAGGGUCUGCCUCCUUCACUUACGCAACUUUGGAUCUCUGGGUGUCCAGUGCUAAAAGAGAGAUGCCAACCAGGAAAAGGACACUACUGGCACAAAAUAUCCCACAUCCCUUCCAUACAGAUAUAGAUUUUAAGAUAUUUGAAGCUAAUGGUCGAUUUGAUCCCAUUCUCUACGUCCAGGUAUCAUCUUCUGAAGAAAUGUUUUAUUAUUAUUUUCAUGUAAAGUAGAGUAUUAUUAUUAUUAUUAUUAUUAUUAUUAUUAUUAUUACUAGCAUUUGCCUACACACUUUGUGUGUAUCAACACAUUUUUUUAGAAAAUGAGAAGGAGAGAGGGAGAGAGACAGAGAGAGAGAACGUGAGGGGAGUGAGAGGUUUUUUUUUUGGUUUUUUCUUUUUUUUAAUAUUGGAGGUAUUUUAACAUCAUCUGUAGGUGAGGCUUCAAUAAAAAACAGUAAAAUUUGGACCUGUGAAAUUACAUUAUUGCCCAUCAUUUUUUUUUUGUGUGAUAGAAGACUAAUUUGUCUUUUCAUCAUCUUUUGGUUGACAAAGAGGAUUUCAUUAAUUAGUAGAGAUUAUCAUCUUUAUUCAUGUAAGAUCUACUUUAACUAUUAGAGUAAAACUUAAAUUUUAGAUUCCAAACCUAUUCCAAGUUGUUUCAACCUUGAGGCAAAUAUGAGUUUUAUAGCAAAUUUAGCCCAUAAUUCCUUCCGGGUUAGUGGGUUGGCCCACCAUAUAUGUGUAUUUUUCUUUUAAUUUUAUAUUUAUAAAUUCAUUAAAUCCAACGGAAAAGAUCUAAUAAUCUAACUGUAAAGAAUGAAAACAUUCCCUUCCUUUUUGUUUUCUCCUUUUUGCAUUUCUUCUACUAUAUCUAUUGGUUAGUUUCGCUUUAUUUUGUUAAAUUCUAUAGAUAAAAAGAUUAUAUGUACAGAAGGAGAAAAUUAAAAGAUUUAAUAGUUCAAAUUUAAAUUCAACGGCUAAAAUAAUUAGAAAAAUCUUUUCAUGUGUUUCAUAUUCUUUCAUAAUGUUUCACAAGUUUCAUGUUGUCAGUUUAGUAAUUUUUUAAUAUUUAUCGGAAUCUAAAUAUUUUUCCAAUAUUUUCAUGUGUUUCUUUUCUUGCGUUCCUCGCAACACUAGUGUAUUUGGAGCCCGUGGGAUCUCGAUCGAGUUGGGUGAGCAGGAUAGUUUUGUUGAAUUUGAAUAUGAUUUCCUGGCCUUGGAGGCAGAGGAUUCGGAAAACUGGGAAUCUGGUGUGGUGAAAAGAAAUGCAGGAAAUGAUUUGAUCUUGAAGGGACCAUUUGGAUCUCCACAUGGCCAAUCCUUGGAUUUGAUUGGUUCUGAUGAUACAAAGCCUGAGCUUGAGGGGUUCGUUAUGCAAACAGAUGAUGAACCAACAAGCAUUGCUGGAAAGGGAGUUGGCUUUGACGAGUGGAACCUUCCAAGCACUACAAUUGAACAUGCCAGCAUUCUGGAGCAGCUACUGCAUGCUCUUCUGCUUCAUAUAAGUUGCAUAAUAAUCCAAAUCUCUACCAGUCUGUUCCAACUGGGCUUCUAGAGGGUGUGGAUAUGAGGACCAUGAAUGAUGCUGCCAAGCAAUUAAGGGAUGAUCAUAGUUGCUGAGGAAGUUGGCCAGGUGUUUUAUGCAAGGUCCUAUUCUGAUUGCCUAUUAAAUCAUAGUUGUCAAUCUAGUUGGGAUACUAAGAAACCUUAUAUGUCUCCAGUAGGGAAACUUUGGGAUAUAACUGGUUCAAGGACUAGCAGUUCAAGGAAGCGAGGAAGCUUAAAUCCGGAGCUUCCCUGCAUCAGUGAAGAAAAUGAGAAUGCAGAUGAGGUAGCUGAUAUUUUCCAAGAUGGCAUUGUUUCAGAUGCAUUAAAUAGCUCAAUACAAAGAGUACCCCUUGCUGACAUUACUGAGAUUUAAACCCUCCUGCAUCAGUUUCUAAAGCUGAACCAUAUGCAGAUAGACUUAGUCUAGAUUCCGUGAACACUGAAAUCAGCUUUACAGGCACUCAUAAGAGCUUCAAACAGAGGCUUGGAAUCCAAAACAGCAGCAAGAGAAGAUAUAACAAUAAGGAGACAAACGAUAUUAAGAGGACCACUGGAUCACUUCAUAACAUGUUCAGUAAACCAAAAUUAUCUGGAAAAACCAGUUUGAGAAAAGGUGGUCCAAGUUUGUCAGAGCAGGAGCCGAAACGUAACAAUAUCGUGUCCAGCAUGACUUCUUUCAUUCCACUUGUUCAACAGAAACAAGCAGCUGCAGUUAUAACAGGUAAUUUCUUACUAGUAAUCUUAAUCUUGAACUUUGGAUGUUGCUUACAUGUACAUUUCCAUAUGAUUGUUUUUCGAGUAUGGAUAAUAAUCGUAUGUCUAAACUGGGUUACAGUAUGGAUGAUGGUUUUGUUUUUACUGAAUUAGGGAAUGUUUUGUUUCGGAGGACAUGACACAAAACCGAGCGCAAUGGCGUUCUAGGAUUCAUAUAGCCGACCCCACUUAGUGGGAAAAGGCUUUGUUGUUGUUGAUGUUGUUGUUGUAGGGAAUGUUUUGUUUGGAGCUUUAAAUUGGUAAUGCAUAUCUUGGGAUCAUCGAGUAAAAAUUAGAGUGCAUGUUUGAAAGUCCCAUGAAAAUUGAGUUGCCUUAUUAUCCUUCAAAAGAAAAAAUUAUAGGUGACUUCAACUUGUCGUAAGGAUCUUGAUAGUGAUUCAUUUGUUUUUUAAUUGUAUCAUUGUGAAUGUCUUAUAAGCAUUCUGGGAUAUUUUUCUUUUCUUUGUUUUUUCUUUUUCUCGAAUGAAUUAGUAUUUUGACCUAUUUGUGCUCUCUUGCAGCUGAAGCUACAAGCGUCUUGCAGAAAAGAAAGAGAAUGAACGCAAGAUGAAGAAGGAAGCCUUGAAACUUCACCAGUCAAGAAUGGAGCAGGAGAAUAUGAAGCAGUUGGAGCUGCAGAAAAAAAAGAAAGAAGAAGAGAGGAAGAAAAAAGAAGCUGAUAUGGCAUCAAAGAAGAGACAAAGGGAAGAGGAAGAAAGGAAGGAGAAGGAAAGAAAAAGAAUGCGUGUUGAAGCCCGUAGACAGCAGAGAGAACAUGAAUACAAGUUACCUGCUGAAAAAGUAGAGAAUGAAAUGAAAAGCCAGGCCAUUGUAUGAUUCUUUAUGCUCUGCCUCAUUUCAUUAUAUCUUUUCUUUUUUGCAAUGUUAGGUAUCACAUUCUACAUUGUGCUUUCUUGUGCAGGAUGGAAGCGGCCCUGGCGGUAAGAAAUCUAAGGAUGAAACGCCACAUAAGAAAAUGGAGGCAGAAAGGGGAUUUGACAAUUCCAGAAAUAUUUCGGAGACUGAGCCUAGUACUUCCAGGAUUUCAAUAAGCAACGCUGGAAGAGAAAGUAUUGUCCAUGAAGAGUUCCAUGAGGCCUGGGAGUAAUUAUGGGUAUAAAGCAGAGGUAAAUGCUGGUGACUUUUUUUUUAACAAUCGAUACACACCAUAUGUUAGGAUCUACUUGCAUGUUGAGUGCUUUUUACUUGCAUAGUCUGGAGCAGAGUGAUAAACUGUGAGCGUAGCAUGAAUUAUAAUCCUCUGUUGAUGUAGUUUGCAUGGGACCUUUAAACUUGUUGGGUUUUAACUCUUUUGAGGCCUUCCUUUUGCUAUCGUUACCACAAUAUAGGAAAGAAGGCUACAAUCGACUAAGUGCAAGAGUUCUCUUAUGUUAAAACUCCUAAUAGCUUAUUGUAAACUCAAAUCUGAACCACUGGUAGAAAGCUUUCUUAUGCAUGAAUAGCUGCAUACUUUUGUGCUCUUUUACCUUCUCUGUAAAGCCUUGUGCUGAUACUUCCUGUGAUAUUUAAGGUACCGAGCGAUUUAGACAAAGAAAUGGAGAAUUCAAUUGGCAUUACAAGUCAAGAGCAGUCUUAUGACAUCUCUCCAUACAAAGAAUCAGAUGAUGAAAAUGACGAUGAUGACAAUAUCAUACCGAAUAGUAAAUUUAUUCCUUCAUGGUCAAGGUAUGUUUUUCAAUUGUUAUAUAUGAAAUAUGGUUUAGAUCUUCAAAUUAUAGAGCAUCACAGUCAUCUCGGUGAUAUGUAUUUUAGAAGGCAUAGAUUGUGUACCCUUUGAAACUGUCAACUCAGCUGGGCUCUAAAAAAUAAUCUGUUGUUUGGUUCUCGUUUUGUACAGUAAAAAACUGCCUGGCUUUUGCUGUUUCUUGCCAGAAUAGAGCAGACCCAGGGACGAUCUUCCCCCCAGAAAGCUUUUGCUGCAUCUCUGAAGGUACUUUUAUGGUGUAAAGCCAUGGUCUUAGUAGCUAUUGCUUUGGCAUUUUUGGCUAGUUAAUUUUUAGAUACCGCUGGACUAAGUUCCAAUAUGCUCAUUUGCAGUCCUCUUGCCUCGAAACCAUCAAUUAAACAACAGCAGAAUGCGUUAAACUCUACUCAGUAUAUUCUUCAGUAAUAAGAGCUUUUGGUCAAGAAGAGGUAAUGCUUACCUUUAUUCUCCAUUUUCCUUUCCGUGCUCUAAACUACAUUUGUGCUGGCAGUUUGGUUGUUAAAGGAGCAAUUUUCCUUCUGCAAAAUGUAAAAUGCCUUGAGUUACUGCCUAUCAAAACCAAAAUACUUGUAAUAAUUGGUUUUCGUUUCUCGUUGCAGAUUUUCAAAGUCUAUUUGUGAACAGUUUCUUGAGCAGGCGACACCCUUUCAAGCUGACAUGUAAUUGUUAUCUCAAAUAAUUUCCCGACUGAUUGUAGUUGAGAAGAGUGACAAGUUCCAUUGGCAGAAGGCCAAUUUCCUGAGCUAUUGAGUAAUUUGGUCAUCGCCUCCUGCUGCUUUCUUGCUUCUUUGGCGCAGUCACUUUGGUAUGCACUGGUUUUAAUUUAACUUUUAACCUCAUUCUCCUCAAGGAUGAUAAGUGAAUGCUAGAAAUGUAUGUGUUUUGGUAUGGGGGUGUUGUAAGAUUAUGUAUAUAUAAAGCAAUCUUUAUUGCCUUUAUUCUUCCUCUUUUGGUCAAUUUGCUUAUUCACGAUCAUACACCAAAAGGUUGAACAUUGAAUCAUAUACUUGUUUUCCAAAAAUAAAACUUUGCAACUCUUGAAAGCAUAUAUAAAUUUGCUACACGAACUAGUAUAGAGAAGUCCAUAUGAGGUUAGAAUACAAAAUUGCACCUAUAAAGCCGCAUACUUGAUUUGAGUUAAGUUGAUUAGAGCGGUGUGCUCACUUUUUUGCACCCAAGUUGAAUUUAGUAUAAAUUAUUCUAUGGUUUGUUAAAAAAAACAAAAAAACAAAAAAAUUCAUGAAUAAUUCGAUGUAACGCGAUGUUUAAACGCAAAACUUGAGCGAGACAUUAGCGGAAUGAUUUCAAUCCCCACCACAAAUUUGCUACACCAACUAGUAUAGGGCCUUGUAUCCGUAUCGGAUGGAAGAUGUCCAAGAGGACGCUUUCUGAAAAAAAACAGCACAUAUCACAGCCCUGAUGCAUAGUCUGAAAACUUUCUGAUACAAAUCACCAACUGGGUAUGCUCAAAGUUUACAAAUUUCCAAUUGGGUAAGCUCAAAAGUUGACAAAUUCCCAAUUGGGUAAGCUCAAAGUUCACAAAUUGUCAAUUGAGUAAGCUCAUAUUACAAUAUUCACUUAACAUAGCAAUUUUUAAAAUGUGUGAUCAAAAGUGUAAUGAUUUGUCAAAAUGUGCCUAUUGUGAUUAAUUAUCCUUGUAUUAUUCAACCAAUGUCAUAUCAGAACGACAAUGUACUCGCUCUAUGAAAAUUCUUCGCAUCGGUUACAUUUUAGACUGUACACAUGAAAGUCAUUCAAAACAUAAUAACAGUUGCCAUGCGUUUUCCUGGUCUCCCAAAUGAUCAAGUUUGUUUUCUUGUCCUUUGUGUUUUGUUAAGUAGUUCCUGCAAUUUUGCCCCCUUUUUCUGAUUAAUAUAUGAAGGGCAUGAACCUUCGCAUAUAAAAUUGAUUAAACAGCAGUUUUAAAAAGUGAAAUCAAAAGUGCCACAAUUUGUCAGAAGUUGUCCACUGUGAGUUUGUGACUAAUCGCCCUUGUCUUAUUCGAGCAAUGUGAUAUCACAUCAAUGGUGUACUCGUUUUAUGGAAAUUCUUCAUGACCGUUAUAUUUUAGACAAGACAAAUGAAUGAAUCAUUCAAAACAUAAAGUUUUUCUAAUUUUUUUUUUCUUUGAUGUUAAGUUUCUCUGUUAUUUAUUUGAAAUAUUAACUCAAUAGUGAACUAGAUAAGUGAUUCUUGUAGAAAGAAUACAACUUUCUAACUUUUCUUGUUCGUGGAUUGUCGUGGGGAUACCGGAAUUGCAACUUUUCUUGCAUGUGUUGUUGGUGGAAUACUGACACAAUCGCAAACCUAAUUCUUUUAAACUUUCGUUUGGUAGCUUCUUAUCUUUUAGGUUUUGUUUUAGAGGCGUUUGGUCUUAUGUCCUUUUUGUUGUGUAUUUUCUUUAUCAAGAUGAGUAAAGUUUAUGUCACAAUCGCAAACCUAAUUCUUUUAAACUUUGUUUGUAGCUUCUUAUCUUUUAGGUUUUGUUUUAAAGGCGUUUGGCCUUAUGUCCUUUUUGUUGUGUAUUUUCUUUAUCAAAAUGAGUAAAGUUUAUGUCACAAUCGCAAACCUAAUUCUUUUAAAUUUUGUUUGUUUUGUAGCUUCUUAUCUUUUAGGUUUUGUUUUAGAGGCGUUUGGUCUUAUGCACUUUUUGUUGUGUGUUUUCUUUAUCAAGAUGAGUAAAGUUUAUGUCAUUCUCUCAUUAGUUGCAACUUUUUUUUAAAUAUCAAUAAAAUUUCCUUGUACCACCGAGGUUCUACUAGAACAAAAUGACAAAUGAUAGAUAAUCUACCCUAAAUUCAUCUAAAUUAUGAAAAACGGAGAAGAAUUUAGACCCAAAACACAAUAGUUGGAAGAGAAAAACCUUGUCUCAAGAUAACCCACAAUUUGUGAUAUUUCACUCCGUCAUGAAAAUCCUGCUCAAUUUUCAUUCCUUAAACAUCUAUUCAGGAUAUGGUAAGUAAAGCGUGGAGAUUAGUCACAGCCCUUGUGACUAAACGAUGGUAAAGCUGAAGCAGUCCGCAUGGUGGUAACUUUGGUAAUAUCUAGUGCCGGCAGGAUGAAGCUGAAGCUGAAGCUCGUAUAAGAAAACAAAUAUAAAAGAUAAAGAAAAGGUAAAAGACAAAUAUCAUGACCCCACGACAAUGAAAAGAAAGAAAAAAAAAAAGGAAUUAUCAUAGCAAAUUGAAUUAUUGAAGAGUUCUAAAGUCUUUGUCAUCUGGGUUCUGGAUUCGUUGACUUUCAUAACUCAUAAGCGAUCAGAUGAGUUCAAUGGAAACAAGUCCCUUCAUCUUCAUGAUCAUCUGAAAGCUUCAAUUGAUGCAGUAAGUUCUUCGUCCAACUAUAUCUAUAUGGGAAAUCCAUUAUUUAUUCGUUAUUUAUUUCAUUUGCUUCAUCUUAAUUGCAGCUAUAUAUAUGGUUUCAUGUUCAACACUUUGUUAAUUGCACUAAAGUUUUCAACUUCAACUGAAAACUUUCUGAUGCAAGUCACCAACUGGGUAAACUCAAAGUUGACAAAUUCCCAAUUGGGUAAGCUCAGAGUUCAAAAAUUGUCUUGUAAAAAGUUUUCUUAUAAUUAAAACAACAAAAGCACUCCUAGAAACCAAUCCAAACCAGAUAGAGAAAAAAUAAAAGCAAAAGCAAAAAAUUAUGACCCCAUGACAAUGAAGAUAGAGAAAAAAGUGGAAAGUACAGCUUUCUUUCUGGUCACAAAGAGGAGGACUUAUCAUGGCAAAUUGAAUUAUUGAAGAGCUCUAAAUUAAGUCUUUGUCGUCUGGAAUCUGGAUGCAUAGUCUGAAAACUUUCUGAUGCAAAUCACCAGCUCAAAGUUGACAAAUUCCCAAUUGGGUAAGCUCAGAGUUCAAAAAUUGUCAAUUGAGUAAGCUCAUAUUUCACCCCCUCUCUGAUUAAUGAUGCUCUCUGAUUAAAGAUGGACAAUAUUCACAUUUCAAAGAUAAAAUUGAUUAAAAGAGCAAUUUUUAAAAUGUGUGAACAAAAGUGUAAUAAUUUGUCAAAACGUGCUAACUAACAACCCUUAUAUUAUUCAAGUCAUGUCAUAUCAAAGUUAUAGUAUACUCGUUCGUUCAAAAAAACAAAAAGUUAUAGUAUACUCGUUAUAUGAAAAUUCUUUGUGCUUUAUACAUUUUAAAUUGUACACAUGAAAGUCAUUCAAAACAUAAUAACAGUUGCCAUGCGUUUUCCUGAUCUGCCAAAUGAUCAAGUUUGUUUCUUUGACCUUCGUGUGUUUUGUUAGGUGGUUCCUGCAAUCCCACCUCCCCCCCUCCUCUUUCUUUUUCUGAUUAAUGAAGGGCAUGAACCUUCACAUAUAAAAUUGAUUGAACAGCAGUUUUAAAAAGUGAAUCAAAAGUGCCACAAUUUGUCAAAAGUUGUCCACUAUGAGUCUAUGACUAAUUGCCCCUGUAAUAUUCGAGGAAUGUGAUAUCACAUCAAUGUUGUACUUGUUUUAUGGAAAAUUUUCAUGGCCGUUAUAUAUUAGACUAAGUAAAUGAAUGAAUCAUUCAAAACAUAAAGCUUUUCUAAUUUUUUUUUCUUUGAUGUUAAGUUUCUCUUCAGGCGUUAUUAUGUUAUUUAUUUGAAAUAUUAACUCAAUGGUGAACUAGAUAAGUGAUUCUCGUAGAAAGAAUAUAACGUUCUAACUUUUCUUGUUCGUGGAUUGUCGUGGGGAUACUGGAAUUGCAACUUUUCUAGCAUAUGCUGUUGGUGGAAUACUGACACAAUCGCAAACCUAAUUCUUUUAAAAAAUUGGUUUGUUUUGUAGUUUCUUAUCUUUUAAGUUCUGUUUUGGAGGCAUUUGGUCAUAUGUCACUUUUUCGUGUCUCGUCAUCAAGAUGAGUAAAAUUUAUGUCAUUCUCUCAUUAAGUGUAAUUUUUUUUUCAUUUCAAUAAAGUUUCCUUGUACCACCAAGAUUCUACCAAAACAAAAUGACAAACGAUAGAUAAUAUACACUAAAUUCAUCUAAAUUAUGAGAAAAGAGAAGAAUUUAGACCCAAAACAUAAUAGUUUGAAAAGAAAAACCUCAGCCCAAGAUAACCCACAAUUUGUGAUAUUACACUCCAUCGUGAAAAUCUUGCUCAAUUUUCAUUUCUUAAACAUCUAUUCAGGAUAUGGCAAGUAACCUGUGGAGAUUAGUUACAGCCCUUGUGACUAAACGAUGGUAAAGCUGAAGCAAUCCGCAUGGUAGUAACUUUGGUAAAAUCUGGGGUCGGUAGGAUAAAGAGCCCUGGGGGUGUUUACCAAGGACAAGGAUUCUCUUCUCCUUUUUUCCCAUAUAUUUCCAUCAUCCUUUUGUUUGUGUGGUCACGAUUAAGUUAAGUCUUUUUGUCUUAUUAUCUCUAUAAAAAAUCAAUAUAAAAUAUUGACAUGACUUAACCAUGACCACACAAAUAGGAAAUGAUGGAAGUGUUUGGAAAAAAGAAGGAGAGAAUCCUUGUCCGUUUACCAAUUGCCAUGCGUUUCUUGGUCUCUGCCAAAUUAUCAAUUUUGCUUUCUUUUCUUGUCCUUGGCUCACGAUAAAUAGUACAUUUUAAUUUGCUCAUUACUAUAAAUUAUGAUCUACGUUCAUUAUACAUCUUAAAUUAUGUCAUGUGUCUUUUGAUCCAACUCUAAUUAACUUAUAUAUAUAUAUAUUUUUUUUUUUUUUGAACAAUUGAUAUUAUCUACAUUAAAAGAAUGAUGAACUUAGCCUCACAAUAGACUUGUAAUAAUAUGGUUCAAAUUCACAUUUGGAUAUAAUCAAACCUAAAACCUUUCACUUACCAGUGAAGAGGAAUACCACUAGACCACAAUACUAAAUGACUAAGUAACUUCUAUUAAAUAUUAUUUUUUUAAUUUUGAAAAGUAUUAAAAAAAACAAAAAUAUCCCCUUCUUCUUCAUUCUGGCCCCUCUCUUCCUUCUCCGUAUUAAUAAUUGGACUAUUAUUUGAUAAAAGUGUUUAUCCUUAUUAAUGCUACAUUAUUUAGCUUGUAAAUCUUAUUUACAAAUUUAGUCCCGAUUACCUUUUUUUUAUAACAUAAACAUUAUGACCCCACGACAGUAAAGAGAGAACAAUAAAGAGGAAAGCAACACUUUCUUUCUGGUCACAAGAGGACUUAUCAUGACCAAUUGAAUUACUGAAAGAGCUAUAAAGUCUUUGUCAUCUGGAAUCUGGAUUUGUUGAUUUUAAUAAGCGAUCACUUUCUUUCUGGUCACAAGAGUACUUAUCAUGGCAAAUUGAAUUAUUGAAAGAGCUCUAAAAUCUUUGUCAUCUGGAAUCUGAAUUUGAUGAUUUUCAUAAGCGAUCACAUCGAUGGAAACGCGUCCCUUCAUCUUCUUGGUCAUCCGAAAACUUCAAUUGAUACUGUAAGUUCUUCCAACUAUAUCAAUAUGGGAAAUCCAUUAUUUAUUCAUUAAUUAUUUCAUUUUCUUCUUCUUAAUUGCAGCUAUAUAUAUAUAUGAUUUAAUGUUCAACACCAUGUGCAGUCAUAAGCUCGAGCCUCAAGCUUCCAUGGAACUACUUAAAUCUUAAUUGCACUAAAGUUCUCAACUUCAAGUCUUCAACUGAUCCUCGGAAGCAAGUGUCCUCGUGAUCCGACGACUUUCAUGUAAGUUCUUGCUACACAUUCGGUCUUAUAUCCAUCCGAGUUUCAAGUUGUGUAACUUGUCGUGUCCUAAAUUAAUAGUGUUUCUUAAAUAUGUAAACAAUAUAUAAUUUUUGACAUAUCCGAUUGAGCUCCGGUGCAUCCAUAUAAUUAGUUUCAUUUGCUUAAAUUGUGCAGCUGUGACUACUUGUGAGCCUUGAUUGGUAUUGGUCAGCGGAUCAAACUUAAAUUCUUUCUCUUCUUCCAUAAAAAAUAAUAAUAAAAAAAUAAAAAAAAUAAAAAAAAUUCAAUGCUCAUAGGUCGUAGUAUUGAAGAAAAUUUCUUAAAAUAAAAACAAUAAAAACACUUCUAGUAGAAUUAAUUAAAAUUCAGGGGGUUUCAAAUCAAUUGACUUAAAAAAAAAAAAAAAGCCCAUGAUUAAAGCUAAAACCCAAUCCAUACCAGAUCGCGACCAUUUUUACAUUAACUACAAUAGCAUACAAAAAAUGAAAAAAACUGAACUGAUUACUCACAAAGCAAAAUAAUGUAAUCUAUGUUACAAAGCAUUAUAGCUUUUAACUUUUCUACCAUGUGCUGUUUCUUGUGCUUUGUGCUUUGUGCUGUGCGCUCAGGACAUAAGUUUUUUAUUACACAGGAAAAAGUAGAAGACAAAAUUAUGCCCCGCGGCAACGAAGAGAGAGAGAAAACAAAGAGGAGGAUUUAUCAUAGCACAUUGAACUAUUGAAAGCUCUGAAAUCUUUGUCGUUUGGAAUCUUUGACCCCAGUACGAGAUCAGAUCAGAUCAGAUGGAAUCAAGUCUCUCCAUCUUCAUGAUCAUCUAAAAACUUCAAUUAAUGCAGUAAGUUCUUCUUCCAUUUAUAAUUAUAUGGGAAAUCCAUUAUUUAUUUAAUUAUUUCAUUUUCUUCAUCUUAAUUGCAGGCUUUGUAGCUAUAUAUAUAUUUAUGUGGUUUAAUGUUCAACAGUUUGUGCAGUUUUAAGCUCAACAGCUCAAGCGUCCAGGAAACCACUCAGCCUUAACUGCGCUAAAGUUUUCAACUUCAACUAAAACUUGAUCCCGGGAAGCAAGUGUUCUCUUGAUCUGACGAUCUGUUUCCACGUAAGUUCUCACUACGCAUCUGGUCUUAUUAAUUAAUAAUGUAAUGUGUUUCAAGUUGUGGAACGUGUCACGUUCUAAAUUAAUAAUGUUAUUUUAAAUGUAACAAAUAUAUUAUUUUGUAGUUUCGAAUUUAUCUUUCGUGUUCUGUCUUUCAACUUAAGCAAUUUUAAGUAAAACGUAAUUGAACAUACCAUGUAACUGAACUAAUUGAACAUACCAAUAAUUAGUUUCAUCUGUUUUAAUUGUGCAGCUGUGACUACUUGUGAAUCUUAAUUGGUAUUGCUCCACGGAUCAGACUUCCAGUUCAAGAAACUAUGGCCGCAGAUGCUUUUCUUGGGGCAUUUCUCCGAGUGUUGAUUUGCAAGUUGGCAGAUCGCGAGGUCAUCAGGUACUUUGGACGCGUAAAGGGCAUUGAUAAAAAUCUGAAGAAAUGGAGUGACACCUUGUCUGCAAUUGAAGCGGUUCUGAAUGACGCGGAGGAAAGGCAGCUGAUGGCUGAGAGCACCGCACUGAAGCUCUGGCUCGAUAAUCUCAGGGACUUGGCUUUUGAUGCGGAAGACGUGUUGGAUAAAUGUCAUACUAAAAUGUUGAAACGUCUGAUACAACAUGCUCUCAUUCCAGCACAACAAGCAAAGCAUGGAAAUCAAUUCCUAAUCGCGUUUCCAACUUCAAAACAACAAGCAAAGCAUGGAAAUCAAUUCCUAAUCGUGUUUCCAACUUCAAAAUGAACUCGGAAAUACAGAAGAUUACCAAGCGAUUACAAGUGAUAUCCGAAAGAAAAGACCAGCUUGGUUUGAAAAUUGAUACUGGGACGUUGACUAAAAGGGCACGCCAACUCAUAUCGCCUAGUUCUAGUCUACCAGAUGGACCUGUGAUUGGAAGGGAGGAGGACAAAAGGAAGAUUGUUGAGCUUCUGUUGAAACAGGAGCAUCGGGCUGCCAAUUUCUAUGUUGUUGCAAUUGUCGGUAUGCCUGGAGUCGGAAAGACAACACUUGCUGGACAAGUACUCAAAGAUAUGGUUGCAACCCAAAUGUUUCAACCAGCCGUUUGGGGUGUGCGUGUCUGACGACUUCAACCUUGAAAAGAGUGACAAAGCAAAUUCUUGAAUCAAUCACAUCCCAGCAAUGUACCACAAAAGAUUACAAUAAGGUUCAAAAUGAUCUGCAUAAGAAGUUAGCAGGGAAGAAGUUUUUAAUUGUUUUAGACGAUGUUUGGAAAACGUGUAGCCACGGUGACUGGAAGAAGCUGCAGUCCCCGUUUAUAGAUGGAGCACAUGGAAGCAAGAUAAUUGUGACAACACGUGAUAAAGAUGUUUCAAAAAUGAUGGGAGCUGCUAUGCUGGUUCACAAUCUGAAGCCUAUGGAGGAUGAUGUUUGUUUGCAAGUAUUUGAGCAGCAUGCAUUCUUGAAUGCUAACGACAGACCACCAAACUACGAGUUACUUAGGAAGAAAAUUGUUGCAAGGUGUAGGGGAUCGCCUUUGGCCGCGAGGACCCUCGGUGGCGUUCUACUUUGUAAAGAAAUAAAUGAUUGGGAAGAAACAUUGAGCAACAAGUUGUGGAGUCUGUCAAAGGAGCAUGACAUACUUCGCGUGCUGAGACUAAGUUACUUUUAUCUUCCUUCACAUUUGAAAAGAUGCUUUGCCUAUUGCUCAAUACUUCCAAAUGACUAUGAAUUCGGGGAGAUGCAAAUGAUCCUUCUGUGGAUGGCCGAGGGUUUGAUUCAUCAUCAACCAGAAGAUAAUAAGCAAAUUGAAGAUUUAGGUGCUGAUUAUUUUCGGGAGCUCGUAUCUAGGUCAUUGUUUCAAAAGUCAACCAAAAAUACUUCAAAAUAUGUGAUGCAUGACCUCAUUGGUGAUUUAGCACGAUGGGCAGCUGGAGAUGUUUGUUUUAGAUUGGAGGAUAAGCAAAAUAAUGAUGGUGUACAACCUAUAUGUUUUUCGAAGGCACGCCAUUCGUCUUACCUUAUGGGUGAGUAUGAGGUGGUUAAAAGAUUUGAGGCAAUUUCUGAAGUGAAAUGUUUGCGAACCUUCUUGCCACUGAGAAAGGGUUCUCCCUACAAUUAUUUAGGUCGUCAGGUUACCUUUGAUUUAUUGCCAAAAUUGCAAUACUUGCGGGUGCUCUCUUUUAAUGGCUAUAGAAUAACUGAGCUGCCAAACUCAAUUGGUGAUUUGAGAUAUCUACGGUAUCUUGACCUUUCCUACACAGCUAUAACUAGUUUGCCUAAAUCGACAAGUACUCUUUACAACCUGCAGACAUUGAUAUUGGAAGGCUGUUCAGAUUUGAAGUCAUUGCCUGCAGACAUGAGUAAUCUAGCUAAUUUACGCCAUCUCAACAACUCAGAUGUGUCUUCGUUGGAAGGAAUGCCUCCAAAACUAGGUAGAUUGGUGAAUCUCCAAUCUUUGCCUAAUUUUGUGGUCAGUGCUGGAAGUGAUCAAUCAGGAAUAAGAGAGAUAGGGCCCCUAUCGCAUCUCCAAGGGACAUUGUGCAUCUCAAGAUUGGAGAAUGUGACUGAUGUCGAGGAUGCUCAGUGGGCCAACUUAAAAUACAAGGUGAGGCUUGAUUCGUUGGUCCUAAAAUGGUCACAUUCAAGCGACACAAGAGAAAUGGAAUCUACUGUGCUUGACAUGUUAGAGCCUCAUAGAGAGAUCAAGGAGCUCACCAUCAAGAGUUAUGCCGGGAAGAAAUUUUCAUCAUGGGUUGGAGGUCAUUUGUUCUCUAAUAUGGGGCUUGUGCGCUUAGAGGAAUGUAACAAUUGUUUGUCGUUGCCACCUCUCGGACAAUUGCCUCAACUCAAAGAACUUUAUAUUAGGAGGAAUGAAUGCAGUGGAAAGGGUUGGUGCUGAGUUUUAUGGAGAGCGUAACUUGCCUUUUCGGGUAUUAGAGACUCUUGAUUUUGUGGAAUUGCAGCAUUGGAAGGAAUGGCUUCCUUUCUUACUGGAUCACGAAAGUGGUGCUUUCCCUUGCCUGAAAAGGAUGUCAAUAACAAAAUGUUCUAAACUGGAGGGUAAGCUGCCAGAGAACCUCAAUUCUUUAGCGAAGCUUGAAAUUGUUAAAUGUGAAGAAUUAGUGGUUUCAAUUGCCAACUACAAACAACUUCGUCAGUUAAACAUUGACGGUUGUAAAGUGUUGGUGCAUACAGCUGGUAAGGUUGAGUUUGAGUUAUUAGAGUCCUUGUGGCUUUCAAACAUUUCGGAGGUGAUGUCUCUGGAAACAGGGGAAUUGUUCAAGAAGGGAUUAACCAAGGUUAGUGAUUUGAUGAUUAAUGGAUGUGAGGAGGUGACGUCUUCAUUGAAGAAUGAGGGUAGAUUAUUGCAGCAGUUGACUUCUCUUAAUAGUUUGGAAAUUGAAGACAACUAUCGUCUAGUUGAAGAAUUGGGAAAAGAAGCAGAGGAGUUGCAAAUAUUGGAGUGCAGGCUUGAAUAUCUAAAGUUUAAAAAGUGCGAAAAUCUUUUGAAGCUACCAAAAGGAUUAAAUCAGCUGUCGUCUCUUCAAGAGCUUCGCAUACACGAAUGUUCACGUCUAGUUUCUUUCCCAGAUGUAGGUCUGCCACCUUCUCUUGAAAACGUCGAGAUUAGAGAGUGCCAUUCGUUGAUAUAUUUUGCAAAAUUCCAGAUUCCCCAAAAUCUCAAAAGAAUAGAGAUAAGAAAGUGCAAAAGUUUGAAAUCACUAGUGGAUGAGGAGGCUGUUGGUUCUUCUUGGUCGUCUUCUUCUCAUAUUUGUCUUGAGUACUUGAAGAUCGAAGGAUGUGAAUCUCUGACGUCGUUAUCAUUGAGUGGCCAGCUUCUCAGGACACUUAAACACCUUGAGAUACUUGGUUGUGAACAACUGGAGCUAAUCGCAGAGGACGGGUUCUUCCACGACAACACUAAUUAUUGUCUUGAAUACCUUAAUCUCUGGAAGUGCCAAAAUCUGAAAUCCUUACCGGAUGGCUUAUGCCACCUCAGCAAUCUGAGAAAGCUAUAUAUUCAAGAUUGUGGAAGUCUUGUUUCUUUCCCGAGACUGAGCGGGGGGAGACUACCCUCCAACCUGAGAGAGAUCCAGAUCACCAGUUGCGAGAAAUUGGAGGCGUUGCCUGAAGACAUGCACAAUCUCAACUCUCUUGAGGAAUUGAGGAUCGAGUACCGUGAAGGUUUGACUUUUCCUUCCAACCUCACGUUUCUUGAAAUUUGGAAGGUAAGGAGCUGUAAGUCAUUUUGGGAGUUGGAAUGGGGGUUGCACAGACUCACCUCUCUUAGAUACUUGUGGAUCGGAGGUGAAGACCCGGAUACGGUGUCGUUUCCACCCGACAUGGUCCGGAUGGAGACGCUCAUUCCCAUAUCUCUUACUCACCUCACAAUAAAAGGCUUCCCGAAUCUGAAGAAACUGAGCAGUAAAGGCUUUCAACUCCUCACCUCCCUUCAAUCUCUGCAUCUCUGGAAUUGUCCAAAGCUAGCAUCCAUUCCAGAGGAGGGUCUGCCUCCUUCACUAGAGCGACUUACCAUCUCUGAGUGCCCAAUGCUAAAAGAGAGAUGCCAACCAGGAAAAGGACGCUACUGGCAAAAUAUCCCACAUCCCUAAAAUACAGAUCGAUUGACAGCCGAUUUGAAGCUGAUAGUUGAUUCGAUCCCAUUCUCUAGGUCCAGGUAUCAUCUUCUCAAGGAAUGUUUUGUUAUUAUUAUUAUUAUCCACAAUAUUUGUUUUUUAUUUUUUUUAAAUUUAUGUCCUUCAUGUGGCUGAAGAUUUUCGGGGUUUCAUGAGUGGCUGCUUUGGGAGACCUUCAUUUGGCUCACACAGUAGAGCUGGUUCUGUCUUGCUUUGAGGGCGAUUCUUUGACGACAACAACCAUGGCUAUUUCUGGGCCAAGGUUUCUUCUCUCGCGUUCCUCGCAACACUAGUUUAUUUGGAGCCCAUGGGAUCUCAGAUCGAGUUGAGUGAGCAGGAUAGUUUUGUUGAAUUUGAAUAUGAUUUCCUGGCGUGGGGGGCAGAGGACUGGAAAAACUGGGAAUCUGGUGUGGUGGGAAAAAAAAAUGCAUGAAAUCGUUUGAUCUUGAAGGGACCAUUUGGAUCUCCACAUGGCCAAUCCUUGGAUUUGAUUGGUUCUGAUGAUACAAAAGCCUGAGCUUGACGGGUUCGUUAUGCAAACAGAUGAUGAACCAACUAGCAUUGCUGGAAAGGGAAAUAGCUUUGACGAGUGAGGAUAGUCAUAGUUGCUCGAGAAAGAAACUUUAUGAUAUUGGUCAGGCGUUUUAUGGAAGGUCAAGAGGGUGUGGAUAUGAGGACCAUAUAAGUUGCAUAAUUUUCCACAUCUCUACCAGUCUCUUCCAACUGGGCUUCUAGAGGGUGUGGAUAUGAGGACCAUGAAUGGUGCUGUCAAGCAAUUAGAGGAUGGUCUGAAACUUGAGCGGUCAAGAAUGGAGCAGGAGAAUAUGAAGCAGUUGGAGCUGCAGAAAAUGGAAAGAAGAAGAGAGGAAGAAAAAAGAGGCUGAUAUGGCAUCAAAGAAGAGACAAAGGGAAUAGGAAGAAAGGAAGGAGAAGGAAAGAAAAAGAAUGCGUGUUGAAGCUCGUAGACAGCGGAGAGAACAUGAAGACAAGUUACCUGCUGAAAAACUAGAGAAAGAAAUGAAAAACCACUCCACUGUAUGAUUCUUUAUGCUCUGCCUCAUUUCAUAUAUAUUUUGCAAUGUUAGAUUUCACAUUCUAUAUUGGGCUUUCUUGUAUAGGAUGGAAGAAGCCCUGGCGGUAAGAAAUUUAAAAUGGACAAAGAAAGGGGAUUUGACAAUUCCAGAAAUAUUUUGGAGACUGAGCCUAGUACUUCCAGGAUUUCAAUAAGCAAUGCCAGAAGAAAAUAUUAUCCACGAAAAGUUCCAUGAGGCCUCGAGUAGUUAUGGAUAUAAAGCAGAGGUAAAUGCUAAUGACUUUUUAACAAUCGAUACCCGCCAUAUCUUAGGAUCUAGUUGCAUAUGUUGAGUGCUUUUACUUGCAUAGGCAGGAGCAGAGUGAUAAACUGUGAGCAUAGCAUGAAUUAUAAUCCUCUGUUGUUGAAGUUUGCAUACGACCUCUAAAUUUGUUGGGUUGAACCUAUUUUGAGGCCUUCUUUAUACCAGGAAAUAGGGCUACACUCGCCUAAGUGCAAGAGUUCUCUUCUUUUAAAACUCCUAAUAGCUUAUUGUAAACUCAAGUCUGAACCACCUUUAGAAAGUUUUUCAAGUCUGAACCACCUUUAGAAAGUUUUCUUAUUCAUGAAUAGCUGCAUGCUGUUGUGCACUUUUACCUUGUCUGUAAAGCCUCUCGCUGAUACUUCCUGUGAUAUUUAAGGUACCUAGCAAUUUAGACAGAGAAAUGGAGAAUUCACUUGGCAUUACAAGUCAAGUGCAGUAUUAUGACAUCUCUGCAUACAAAGAAUCUGAUGAUGAAAACGACGAUGACGAUAAUGUCAUACCAAAUAGUAAAUUUAUUCCUUCAUGGUUAAGGUAUGUUUUUCAAUUGUUAUAUAUGAAAUAUGAUCUUCAAGUUAAAGAGCGUCACAAUCAUCUUGGUGAUAUGUAUCUUUAGCGAAAGGCAUAGAUUGUGUACCCUUUGAAAGUGUCAACUCAGCUGCGCUAUAAAAUAUCUGUUGUUUGGUUCUUGUUUUGUGCAGUAAAAACUGCCUGGCUUUUGCCGUUUCUAGCCAGAAUAGAGCAGAUCCAAAGACGAUAUUCGCCCCCCCCCCCCCCCCCCCCCCCCCCCCCCCCCCCCCCAGAAAGCUUUUGCUGCAUCUCUGAAGGUACUUUUAUGGUUUAAAGUCCCGAUCUUCGUAGCUAUUGCAUUGGCAUUUUGGCUGGUCAAUUUUUAGAUACUGCUGGACUAAGUUCCAAUAUGCUCAUUUGCAGUCCUCUUGCCCGAAAAGCAUCAAUUAAACAACAGCGGAAUGUGCUAAACUCUAUUCAGUAUAUUCCUCAGUAAUAAGAGCUUUUGAUCAUGAAGAGGUAAUGUUUACCUUUAUUGAUUAUUCUCAUUUUUCCUCUCCAUGCUCUAAACUACAUUUACGCUGCCAGUUUGGUUGUUAAAGGAGCAAUUUUCCUUCUGCGAAAUGUAAAAUGCCUUUAGUUACUGCCUAUCAAACCAAAAUACUUGUAGUAAUUGGUUUUUAUUUCUCGUUGCAGAUUUUCAAAGUCUAUUUGUGAACAGUUUCUUGAGCAGGCAACACCCUUCCAAGCCGAAAUGUAGCUGAAACGUGUAGAACUUUUUUUUUUAAUUUUUUUAUUUUUAUAUAUAGGAGUCUGUUGUAACUUAUCUCAGAUAAUUUGCAGUGUGAUUGUAGUUAAGAAGAGUAACAAGUUCCAUUGGCAGAAGGGCAAUUGCAUGAGCUAUUGAGUAAUUUGGUCAGCAUCUCCUGCUGCCUUGUUUUUUCUUUGGCACCGCCACUUUGGUCGGCAUUGGUUUCAGUUUUACUUUUAGCCCUCCUGAAGGAUGAUAAGAGAAGGCUAGAAAAAGUAUGUAUUUUGCAUGUUGAGUGCUUUUACUUGCAUAGUCUGGAGCAGAGUGAUAAACUGUGAGCGUAGCAUGAAUUAUAAUCCUCUGUUGAUGUAGUUUGCAUGGGACCUUUAAGCUUGUUGGGUUUUAACUCUUUUGUGGCCUUCCUUUUGCUAUCGUUACCACAAUAUAGGAAAGAAGGCUACAAUCGACUAAGUGCAAGAGUUUUCUUAUGUUAAAACUCCUAAUAGCUUAUUGUAAACUCAAAUCUGAACCACUGGUAGAAACUGCCGGGCUCCAAAAUAAUCUAUUGUUUGGUUCUUGUUUUGUACAGUAAAAACUGCCUGGCUUUUGCCGUUUCUUGCCAGAAUAGAGCAGACCCAGCGACGAUCUUCCCCCGAGAAAGCUUUUGCUGCAUCUCUGAAGGUACUUUUAUGGUUUAAAGCCAUGGUCUUAGUAGCUAUUGCUUUGGCAUUUUUGGCUAAUCAAUUUUUAGAUACUGCUGGACUAAGUUCCAAUAUGUGGGCACACGAGAAAGGAUAAGAUUAGGAAUGAGGAUAUCCGGGGUAAAGUAGGAGUAGCCGAAAUUGAAGGAAAGAUGAGAGAAAAUCGGUUACGGUGGUUUGGACAUGUGCAAAGAAGGCCUACUGACGCUCCGAUUAGAAGAUGCGACUAUGGGACACAGGUUCAGGGCCGAAGGGGUAGAGGAAGACCUAGGAAAACUUUGGAAGAGACUCUAAGAAAAGACUUAGAGUACUUGGAUCUAACGAAGGACAUGACACAGGACCGAGCACAAUGGCGUUCUAAGAUUCAUAUAGCCGAUCCCACUCAGUGACUUGGAUUUUCCAAGUCUCCAACCGAGAAGUUUUCCUCAUUCGGGAAAUUAAGGGAACACUACCUCAACCUACAUGCUCCACUCACAAAGCUUCAACAUACAAGCUUCAAUAAAAGAAAAUUCAAAGAACUUAGCGAAGAAGGCUUUGGUGUAUUUAACACAAACGUUGAAAUGAAGGAAAGCUUAUUUAUUGAUAUUCCCGAUAAGAUACAAAUAUGUACAUAUACAUAAGUCAAAAUAAACAAACAAGAGGGAGUCUUCACAAAGGUUGCUUAGGAGAAGUCUCAGCAGUCGGUAGCCCCAGAAAGAGAAGGCACCGGAGGGGGAUCAUUCAGAGCCUCAGUACUGGACAGAAUCCUAGAAGGAGGAGGAAUCAGAGGUUGAUCAUUUGGAGCUUCAUUACGCGGUACAGCCCCAGAAGAUGAAGGCAAUAAAUGCUUUUGGAUUAAACCCACAAAUCUUUGAUGAUCAAGUAAAACCUGACCAUCAGAUUCCUUCAUCUGGUCAAGCUUCCUCUUCAUGUUUGUAGCAUAGUCAUGGGCGAGCUGGUGCAACUGUUUAUUCUCAUGCUUAAGCCCUCUAAUCUCCUGUUUGAGACUCAUCUUUUCAGCCGCCAAUGAUUCAACUUGGCAGGUUCGAGCAAAUAGGCGUUGGGCCAUAUUAGACACAGAACCUGCACACUGAACACUGAGAACUGGCGAAUCCUUAACAGCUAACUCAUCAGACCGUUUGGAAAGUAGUCUGUUAUCUUUGGGAGUGAGAAGGUUCCUGGCCACCACCGCAGCGGUCAUAUCAUUCUUCAUUACGGAAUCCCCAACGGUAAGAGGACCAGUAGGGGAGACGAAGGAUGGGCGCCAUAUGUUGUCUGGAGAAGGCGGGGCUGCCUCUUCAACAAGGUUCAAGUCAAAACGACGGUCGGAAGGGCCAGACAUUUUCAAAGGUGUUGAAGAGAGAAGAGGUCGGACAAAUCAAGAUCUUAGAAGUGCAAGAAUGGAGCUUCUACUGGUGGAUUUCAAGUGUGCUUUAGAACUUAAUGCCAGCCCUUAUAAAAAUCUGCACUCGACGGAGCUUUAGAAAUCGAAGAGGCGUUUGCUUUCUCAAAAGCUGGGCUGCUCAGAGACCACGAGGGUUGAUCUCAGAAAUCGAAGAGGCGUUUGCUUUCUCAAAAGCUGGGCUGCUCAAAGACCACGAAGGCCAAUCUCAGAAAUCGAAGAGGCGCUCGCUUUCUCAAAAGCUGGGCUACUCAGAGACCACGAGGGCCGAUCUCAGAAAUCGAAGAGGCACCUACUUUUCCAGCCUUGUCAGCACCUGUCACACGCACACUCAACUUUGCGGAAAUUAUGGGCAUUCUGUCGAAGACUUCUGGUAAAGUAGAAAACACAUGAACCUUACUGCUCAAUCACCCACUUCCCACACGCAACAAUAGCUCAUGGGUACCACAGAUAACUUUGCCAAAGUUCUCUGCCAAAGUUGAGCACGUGAAGCUUGCAGCUCCUACUACAUCGCUCUAACCAAGAAGGGUAAAAGAAUAGUAAAGAAACAGCACUAACAAAGUUUAGACACAUAAAUUUUGAAGGCCUAGCUACCAUAUUAUUACCCACAAGGGUAAAGGAACAGUACCACUGCUGGAUAAUUGGAAAGUCCCUGUGUGUCAACCUCUGUGCUUCGUGGCAAGGUAGACUAGCAAACAUGCCCAACAUUUACUCACAUUCGAGAAAACUCCCAACAAGAUUGCUUGCUCCAAAAUCGAAGAGGCACCGUCCUCCGAAUCUCGGGAGCCAGACUCCCAACAUGACUACUGUCUCAAAAAUCGAAGAGAGGGUAAGGGAACAGUACCAUUGCUGGAUAAUUGGAAAGUCCCUGUGUGUCAACCUCUGUGCUUCGUGGCAAGGUAGACUAGCAAACAUGCACAACCUUUACUCACAUUCGAGAAAACACUCCCAACAAGAUUGCUUGCUCCAAAAUCGAAGAGGCACCGCCCUCCGAAUCUCGAGAACCAGACUCCCAACAUGAUUACUUUCUCAAAAAUCGAAGAGACACCGCUCUCCGAAUCUCGAGAGCCACACCCCCAGCGCGAUUACUUUCUCAAAAAUCGAAGAGGCAUUGUUCUCCGAAUCAAUCGAAGAGGUGCUCGCUUUCUCAAAAGCUGGGCUGCUCAGAGACCACGAGGGCCGAUCUCAGAAAUCGAAGAGGCACCUACUUUUCCAGCCUUGUCAGCACCUAUCACACGCACACUCAACUUUGCGGAAAUUAUGGGCAUUCUGUCGAAGACUUCUGGUGAAGUAGAAAGCACAUGAAUCUUACUGUUCAAUCACCCACUUCCCACACACAACAAUAGCUCAUGGGUACCACAGAUAACUUUGCCAAAGUUCUCUGCCAAAGUUGAGCACGUGAAGCUUGCAGCUCCCACUACAUCGCUCUGACCAAGAAGGGUAAAAGAAUAGCAAAGAAACAGCACUAACAAAGUUUAGACACAUAAAUUUUGAAGGUCUAGCUACCAUAUUAUUACCCACAAGGGUAAAGGAACAGUACCACUGCUGGAUAAUUGGAAAGUCCCCGUGUGUCCACCUCAGUGCUUCGUGGCAAGGUAGACUAGUAAACAUGCCCAACCUUUACUCACUUUCGAGAAAACACUCCCAACCAGAUUGCUUGCUCCAAAAUCCACCGUCCUCCGCAUCUCGAGGGCCAGACUCCCAACAUGACUACUUUCUCAAAAAUCGAAGAUGGUAAAGGAACAGUACCAUUGCUGGAUAAUUGGAAAGUCCCUGUGUGUCAACCUCUGUGCUUCGUGGCAAGGUAGACUAGCAAACAUGCCCAACCUUUACUCACAUUCGAGAAAACACUCCCAACAAGAUUGCUUGCUCCAAAAUCGAAGAGGCACCGCCCUCCAAAUCUCGAGAGCCAGACUCCCAACAUGAUUACUUUCUCAAAAAUCGAAGAGACACUGCUCCCCGAAUCUUCGAGAGCCAGACCCCCAGCAUGAUUGCUUUCUCAAAAAUCGAUGAGGCAUCGUUCUCCGAAUCAAUCGAAGAGGCGCUCGCUUUCUCAAAAGCUGGGCUGCUCAGAGACCACGAGGGCCGAUCUCAGAAAUCGAAGAGGCACCUACUUUUCUAGCCUUGUCAGCACCUGUCACACGCACACUCAGCUUUGCAGAAAUUAUGGGCAUUCUGUCGAAGACUUCUGGUGAAGUAGAAAGCACAUGAAUCUUACUGUUCAAUCACCCACUUCCCACACACAACAAUAGCUCAUGGGUACCACAGAUAACUUUGCCAAAGUUCUCUGCCAAAGUUGAGCACGUGAAGCUUGCAGCUCCCACUACAUCGCUCUGACCAAGAAGGGUAAAAGAAUAGCAAAGAAAUAGCACUAACAAAGUUUAGACACAUAAAUUUUGAAGGUCUAGCUACCAUAUUAUUACCCACAAGGGUAAAGGAACAGUACCACUGCUGGAUAAUUGGAAAGUCCCCGUGUGUCCACCUCAGUGCUUCGUGGCAAGGUAGACUAGUAAACAUGCCCAACCUUUACUCACUUUCGAGAAAACACUCCCAACCAGAUUGCUUGCUCCAAAAUCCACCGUCCUCCGCAUCUCGAGGGCCAGACUCCCAACAUGACUACUUUCUCAAAAAUCGAAGAGGGUAAAGGAACAGUACCAUUGCUGGAUAAUUGGAAAGUCCCUGUGUGUCAACCUCUGUGCUUCGUGGCAAGGUAGACUAGCAAACAUGCCCAACCUUUACUCACAUUCGAGAAAACACUCCCAACAAGAUUGCUUGCUCCAAAAUCGAAGAGGCACCGCCUUCCGAAUCUCGAGAGCCAGACUCCCAACAUGAUUACUGUUUCAAAAAUCGAAGAGACACCGCUCUCCGAAUCUCGAGAGCCAGACCCCCGCAUGAUUGCUUUCUCAAAAAUCGAAGAGGCAUCGUUCUCCGAAUCUCGAGAGCCAGAUCCUCGAUAGGAUUGCUUGUUCGAAAAUCGAAGAGGCACCACUUUCCCAACUUCAAGAGCCGGAUCUCCUUGGAUAAAGCUUGUCUGUAAUCUUCACACGCAACAUCAGCUUUCUAGAUACCACAGACCACUUUUUCAAAGUGCUCUGACAGAGUUAAAACAUGUGAAGCUGGCAGCUCCCACUACCGUGCUAUGACCAAGCAGGGUAAAGGAAUAGCAUUACUACUUGUUGUUAGGGAAACUCCUAUAUAUGUCGACCUUCAUCCCUAACGGACAGGCAGACCUGCAAAAAUGCUCAACCCUUCCUUAUAUCUGAGAGGGCACUCCCAACGAAGCCUUUCGAAAUAUUCAGCUUUCUUCCCCCCGAUAAUACCUCUGCAAACAAGCUAUACUAGAGCAAGAAUAUCUCAUAUCAUCAGGGUUAAAAGCAAGAGUAUCCCAUAUCAUGCUUUUUCCCUGUCUUUUCCUUUGGCCUUGUUCUUACCUGCAAGACAAGGAGAAAGAGAGCAAUCAGUCAGCACUUGGAAUCAAGCUUCCAGCCAGGAACUGACUGCCUGGAACCCCUUACCUGAUUACUUACCUGGCAUUGCUCUUGAGUACUCAUCUUCAACAUCUUAUGCUCCCAGGGAAGAUACCGCAUAUGCCUGAGGAACAGAUAGGGCAAGUGAGAAGGAUACAAGGAAGCAUAUGGAGACAAGCGUAACAGCACACGUGCCGAUACAUCCAUUACUCUGUCAAAAGCAAAAGUAUCCCAUAUCAGCAAGGUCGAACAUACUCUAGAUUUGAUGGACUUGUUUUGACCCUCAAAUUCUUCAGUCGGCCUUAUACACUGGAGGAAACCAGAAAACCCUCCAGCUCAGUUCAAGAAUAAGCCUGUGGAAAGUUACUUCUUCAAAAGCAAAAGUAUCCCAUAUCAUCUCUUCUCAUUUUUCUUCUCUUUAUCCUUCAUGCUGCCUGCAAGAUAAGGAGAAUGUGAACAAUCAGCCGGAGCUCUGAUUGCUUACCUUGUCUGUCACCUCUUUCAGCAGAUCCCCUAGCUCGGCGACUUGGGGACUCCUACUACAUGGUUUGUAUCGCGCUUGACCAAGCUUGAAACUACAAGUAAGCUUCAAGUGAAAUUGAUACAUUACCUUGUGCAUCUCCACCAGUUACAGAUACCACCCCUGGAUGGAGGAAGAGUACUUCCAGAGAAGAUGCCACAUCUACCUAUGAGACAGAUAAGGCAAGUCAAGACGAUACCACACUCCGGUACUUAGAAGUUUCGUGGUUACGAGAUCAUUCUCCCACAAUAUUUCCUAAUGUCAUUUGUACUAAAUCAUUCACUUGUACUCACUAAAGGAGAGCUUGAACCUACGUACUUGUGUAAACCCUUCACAAUUAAUGAGAACUCCUCUAUUCCGUGGACGUAGCCAAUCUGGGUGAACCACGUGCAUCUUGUGUUUGCUUUCCUAUCUCUAUCCAUUUAUAUACUUAUCAACACUAAUGACCGGAGCAAUCUAGCGAAGAUCACAAAAAGUGACCGUUUUCGCUACCUAGGAUCUAUCUUGCAGGAGAACGGAGAAUUAGAUGGAGAUCUCAACCAUAGAAUACAAGCUGGAUGGAUGAAGUGUAAGAGUGCAUCCGGCGUGUUGUGUGACCGUCGUAGGCCACUGAAGCUCAAGGGAAAAUUUUAUAGGACGGCAAUAAGGCCAACGAUGUUGUAUGGCACAGAAUGUUGGGCGGUGAAGCAUCAACACGUACACAAAAUGGGUGUAGCGGAGAUGAGGAUGCUUCGUGGGAUGUAUGGGCACACGAGAAAGGAUAAGAUUGGGAAUGAGGAUAUCUGAGGUAAAGUAGGAGUAGCCAAAAUUGAAGGAAAUAUGAGAAAAAAUCGGUUCCGGUGGUUUGGACAUGUGCAAAGAAAGCAUAUUGACGCUCCGGUUCGAAAAUGUGACUACGGGACAGAGGUUCAGGGCCGAAGGGGUAGAGGAAGACCUAGGAAAACUUUGGAAGAGACCCUAAGAAAAGACUUGAGUACUUGGAUCUAACGGAGGACAUGACACAAAACCGAGCGCAAUGGAGUUCUAGGAUUCAUAUAGCCGACCCCACUUAGUGGGAAAAGGCUUUGUUGUUGUUGUUGUUGUUUGACUAGAGCAGUGUACUUACUUUUUUGCACCCAAGUUGAAUUUAGUAUAAAUUAUUCUAUGGUUUGGAAAUGGAAAUAAAAAAAAUAAAAAAAGUCAAUUCAUGAAUAAUUCAAUGUAACGGAGUGUUUAAACGCAAAACUUGAGCGAGACAUUAGCGGAAUGAUAGUUUCAAUCCCGACCACAAAUUUGCUACACCAACUAGUAUAGGGCCUCGUAUCGGAUGGAAGAUGUCGAAGAGGACGCUUUCUGAAAAAAAACAGCAUACAUCACAGCCAUGAUGCGUAGUCUGAAAACUUUCUGACACAAAUCACCAAAUGGGCAAGCUCAAAGUUUACAAAUUUCCAAUUGGGUAAGUUCAAAGUUUACAAAUUUCCAAUUGGGUAAGCUCAAAGUUGACAAAUUCCCAAUUGGGUAAGCUCAAAGUUCACAAAUUGUCAAUUGAGUAAGCUCAUAUUACAAUAUUCACUUAACAGAGCAAUUUUUAAAAUGUGUGAUCAAAAGUAUAAUGAUUUGUCAAAACGUGCCUAUUGUGAUUAAUUAUCCUUGUAUUAUUAAAGCAAUGUCAUAUCAGAACGACAAUGUACUCACUUUAUGAAAAUUCUUCGCGUCCGUUACAUUUUAGAAUGUACACAUGGAAGUCAUUCAAAACAUAAUCACAGUUGCCAUGUGUUUUCCUGGUCCGCCAAAUGAUCAUUUUCUUGUCCUUUGUGUUUUGUUAAGUAGUUCCUGCAUUUUGGCCCCCAUUUUCUGAUUAAUAUAUGAAGGGCAUGAACCUUCGCAUAUAGAAUUGAUUAAACAGCAGUUUUAAAAAGUGAAAUCAAAAGUGCCACAAUUUGUCAAAAGUUGUCAAACUGUGAGUUUGUGACUAAUUGCCCUUGUAUUACUCGAGCAAUGUGAUACCACAUCAAUGGUAUGGUAUACUCGUUCUAUGGAAAGUCUUCAUGAUCUUUAUAAUUUAGAUAAGACAAAUGAAUGAAUCAUUCAAAACAUAAAGUUUUUUUAAUUUUAUUUUUAAUUUUUUAUGUUAAAUUUUUUUUCACGCAUUAUUGUGUUAUUUAUUUAAAAUAUUGACUAAAUGGCGAACUAGAUAAGUGAUUCUCGUGGAAAGAAUACAAGUUAGGGAUGGGCAAACAGGUAUAGGAACCACGGGUCGAGACGGGUUCAAAAAUUAUAAAUACAAAACGAGACGGAACAGAACAGGACGGGACGGGUAUAGGUAAAUAAUGGGGCGAGAUGGUUCUAGAAAUUGGAAAAAAAGGCCCCGGCCUGGACCGUUGAUUUCCCACCGUUGACUCUCUCUCUCUCUUUUUCUUGUCCGAGACUCCCAAGACCCCAUUCCAUUCUCAGACCUCCCCUCUCUAGGUCUCUCCUCCUUGAAUCUCAUUUGCUCUCUCGCCGCCACCAUCAUCAUCAGACCUUGAUUUCUCCUCCUGAUUCACUCUUGUCUUCCUCACUCGGUCCGCUGCCAUCAUUAUCAGGCCUCGUUCGCUUGAUCUUUGGCGACUCUUUGUGGUGCGCCGACGACAAGGUCGUUGAUGAGUUCCUGAUGGAGUAGCCAAUCCCGCCGUACCUGUUCGCGUUCGCCGUCAACAAAGGGUUUGGGUGGUUCUUUCCGGUGGUGGCUCUGGGAAUGCUGAGGUACAUGAUCGCCACAUCAAACAUCAUACAUGACUGCGACGAGGUCUUCAACUUUUGGGAGCCUCUCCAUCUCGAUUCUCUUUCUUUUUCCUCUCUGAAAAAUUGAAACUUUGUUCUUUUUAGGUGUUUUGUUUCUGGGUUUUGAUUGUUUGUUAUUUUCUGGGUUGUUUUUAUUUUGCUUGUUAUGAAAUUAUUUGUCUUUGUGGUUAUUUGAAGUUUAUUUGAUAUUAAAGAUGUUAAUAUAAUGCUAUGUUUGGUUAUAAUUUGUAGAGAACUAUUAAGCUCUGGAUUUAAUUUAUUGGGGAAGUUGGUUGUGUAAUUUCUCAAAAAAAAAAAAAGGAACAUAGGGCCCGUGUUCUCGGCCCAAACCGGCCCGUCCUGUUUCCUUUUUAAGUGGAUCAGGUCCGGUCCCUCCAAAUUUGAGUCUGGCCCGGCCCGGCCGGUGCCCAUCUCUAAAUUACAAGUUUCUAACUUUUCUUGUGCGCGUGGAUUGUCAUUUUGUGCUGUUGGUGGAAUACUGACACAAUUGCAAACCUAAUUCUUUUAAAAAAGGAAAACUAAUGAAAAAUGCUUGAAAACUUUGAGUUUUAAUGAUAAGGACAAAAUAAAGGGUAAAGUGAAUAGUACCAUGAUUGACUUUUUAGUGUAAAAAUGUGGUUUUUCGUUAAAGUGAACAGUACCGGGUGCUUUUAGUUAAAGUUCCCUUUAAAAAAUUUGUUUGUUUUGUAGCUUCUUAUCUUCAAAGUUUUGUUUUAGAGGCGUUUGGUCAUAUGUCAUUUUGUUUUGUCUAUUUUCGUUACAUUAGGUGUAACUUUUUUCUUUUCUUUUCAUUUUAAUAAAUGGGGGUAAGGCUAGCCGACAUUCACCUCUCACAGACCCUGCGUAAAGCGGAAGCCUUGUACACUGGGUACGACCUUUAAUAAAAUUUCCUUCUACCAUUGAGGUUCUACCAGAAGAAAAUGACAAAUGAAAAAUAAUCUACCCACAAUUCAUCUAAAUUAUGAAAACAAAGAAGAAUUUAGACCCAAAACACAAUGGUUUGAAUAGAAAAACCUUAUCCCAAGAUAACCCACAAUUUGUGAUAUUUCACUCCAUGAAAAUCCUGCUCAAUUUUCAUUCCUUAAACAUCUAUUCAGGAUAUGGCAAGUAAAGCGUGGAGAUUGGUUACAGCCCUUGUGACUAAACGUAAACGAUGGUAAAAGGAAUUAGCAUAGCAAAUUGAAUUAUUGCAGAGCUCUAAAUGUUGUGAACUGUAAUGGAGGAUCGCUCAGUAGAAGAAAUAAAUAAGUAGUGGUGAUGUAGGACUGUUUUGUAAGGGAUUUUGGGUUAAAGUGUAAGGGUUUUUGUAAUCGGGUUCAAUUGUAAUCACCUAAGUCUUUAGUGGAGCCUAGUUAAUUUGUUAGUGGUGUCCAGCUGGCACACAUGUAGUGGGGAAAAUAACACUGGCGCGUGGUUAAAUGGUGGCCAGAGGAAAUUGUAAGGGCAUGAUGAAAUUAAUGAGCAGAAUAUCCUUCUCUCUUUUCUCUCUACUCUGUCCCUUCAUCACUGUCGCCACAGCUGCCAUUGCAGGUUGAGGCCAUAGCAGGUCUGGGUCUUAUCACUAAAGUCUUUUGUGGUCUGGAAUCUGGAUGCGUUGACUUUCAUAAGCGAUCAGAUGAGUUCGAUGGAAACAAGUCCCUUCAUCUUCAUGAUCAUCUGAAAACUUCAAUUGAUGCAGUAAGUUCUUCUUCCAACAAUAUCUAUAUGGGAAAGCCAUUAUUUAUUCGUUAUUUAUUUCAUUUUCUUCAUCUUAAUUGCAGCUAAAUAUAUAUAUGGUUUCAUGUUCAACACUUUGUUAAUUGCACUAAAGUUUUCAAAUUCAACUGAAAUCUGAUUGAGCCCCUGUGUAGCCGAUUGAACAUAAAGAUUUUAACAUGUAAAAAGCAUAUGGUUUUUAACAUAUAUACCCGAUUGAGCCCCUGUGUAGCCGGUUGGACGGUUAUGGAAUUGCAUAAAUUUGUAUACAAUAAUUAGUUUCAUCUGUUUUAAUUGUGCAGCUGUGACUACUUGUGAGUCUUGAUUGGUAUUGCUUAACGGAUCAAACUUCCAAUUCAAGAAACUAUGGCGGCAGAAAAUUUUCUUGUGGCAUUCCUCCAAGUGCUGGUUGACAAGUUGGCGCAACGCGAGGUCUUCAAGUACUUUGGACUCGUAAAGGGCAUCGAUCAGAUACUGAAGAAGUGGAGUGCCACCUUGUCUGCAAUUGGAGCGGUGCUGAAUGACGCGGAGGAAAGGCAACUGACUGCUGAGAGCAACGCACUGAAGCUCUGGCUCGAUGAUCUCAGGGACUUGGCUUUUGAUGCGGAAGACGUGUUGGAUAAAUAUCAUACUAAAAUGUUGAAACGUCAGAUACAACAUGCUCAUUCCAGCACAACAAGCAAAGCAUGGAAAUCAAUUCCUAAUCGUCUUUUCAACUUCAAAAUGAAUUUGGAAAUACAGAAGAUUACUGAGCGAUUACAAGAGAUAUCUGAAAGAAAAGACCAGCUUAGUUUGAAAAUUGAUACUGGGAUGUUGACUACAAGGGCACAUCAACACAUAUCGCCUAGUUCUAGUCUACCGGAUGGACCUGUGAUUGGAAGGGAGGAGGACAAAAGGAAGAUUGUUGAGCUGCUGUCAAAGCAAGAGCAUCGUGCUGUCAAUUUCGAUGUAGUUGCAAUUGUUGGUAUGGCUGGAGUUGGAAAGACAACACUUGCUGGACAAGUACUCAAAGAUAUUGUUGCAACCCAAAUGUUUCAACCAGCCAUUUGGGUGUGUGUAUCUGACGACUUCAACCUUCAAAGAGUGACAAAGCAAAUUCUUGAAUCAAUCACAUCUCGACAAUGUACCACAGAAGAUCACAAUAAGGUUCAAGAUGAUCUGCAUAAGGAGUUAGCAGGGAAGAAGUUUUUAAUUGUUUUAGAUGAUGUUUGGAAAACGUGUAGCUACAGAGAAUGGAUGAAGCUGCAGUCCCCUUUUCGUGAUGGAGCACAAGGAAGCAAGAUAGUUGUGACAACACGUGAUACAGAUGUUUCAAAAAUGAUGGGAGCUGCCACGCUGGUUCACAACUUGGUGCCUAUGGAAAAUCAUUUUUGUUUGCAAGUAUUUGAGCAGCAUGCAUUCUUAAAUUUUAACGACAAACCGCCAAAUUAUGAGUUACUUCAGGAGAAAAUUGUUGCAAAGUGUAGGGGAUUGCCUUUGGCUGCGAGUACCCUCGGUGGUGUUCUACUUCGUAAAGAAAUAGACAAAUGGGAAGAAAUAUUGAACAACAAGUUGUGGAGUGUCUCAAAUGAGCAUGACAUACUUCCUGUGUUGAGACUAAGUUACUUUUAUCUUCCUUCACAUUUGAAAAGAUGCUUUGCCUAUUGCUCAAUACUUCCAAAUGACUAUGAAUUCGGGGAUAUGCAAAUGAUCCUUCUGUGGAUGGCCGAGGGUUUGAUUCUUUCUCGACCAGAAGAUAAUAAGCAAAUUGAAGAUUUAGGCGCUGAUUAUUUCCGGGAGCUCGUAUCUAGGUCAUUGUUUCAAAAGUCAACCAAAAAUACUUCAAAAUAUGUGAUGCAUGACCUCAUUGGUGAUUUAGCAAGAUGGGCAGCUGGAGAUAUUUGUUUUAGAUUGGAGGAUAAGCAAAAUGAUGAUGGUGUACAACUUAGAUGUUUUCCAAAGGCACGCCAUUCGUCUUACUUUAUGGGUCACUAUGAUGGGGCUAAAAGAUUUAAGGCAUUUUCUAAAGUGAAAUGUCUGCGAACCUUCUUGCCACUAAGAAAGGGUUCUGGCUACAAUUACUUAAGCCAUCAGGUUACUUCUGAUUUAUUGCCAAAAUUGCAGUACUUGCGGGUGCUCUCUUUUAAUGGCUAUAGAAUAACUGAGCUGCCAAACUCAAUUGGUGAUUUGAGAUAUCUACGAUAUCUUGACCUUUCCUACACAGCUAUAACUAGUUUGCCUAAAUCAAUCAGUACUCUUUACAACUUGCAAACAUUGUUAUUGGAACGCUGUUCCUAUUUGAAGUCAUUGCCUGCAGACAUAAGUAAUCUAAUUAAUUUGCGCCAUCUCAACAACUCAGAUGUAUCUUGGGUGGAAGGAAUGCCUCCAAAACUAGGUAGAUUGGUGAACCUCCAAUCUUUGCCUAAUUUUGUGGUCAGUGGUAGAAGUGAUCAAUCAGGAAUAAGAGAGAUAGGGCCUCUAUCGCAUCUCCGAGGGACAUUGUGCAUAUCAGGAUUGGAGAAUGUGACUGAUGUCAAGGAUGCUCAGAGGGCCAAUUUAAAAUACAAGGCGAGGCUUGAUUCGUUGGUCCUAAAAUGGUCUUAUUCAAGCGACACAAGAGAAAUGGAAUCUGCUGUGCUUGACAUGUUAGAGCCUCAUAGAAAGAUCAAGGAGCUCACCAUCAAGAGUUAUGCCGGAAAGGAAUUUUCAUCAUGGGUUGGAGGUCAUUUGUUCUCUAAUAUGGUGCUUGUGCGCUUAGAGGAAUGUAACAAUUGUUUAUCUUUGCCACCUCUUGGACAAUUGCCUCAACUCAAAGAACUUUAUAUUAGAGGAAUGAAUGCAGUGGAAAGUGUUGGUGCUGAGUUUUAUGGAGAGCGUUACUUGCCUUUUCAGGUAUUAGAGACUCUUGAGUUUGUGGAAAUGCAGCAUUGGAAAGAAUGGCUUCCUUUCCAACUGGAUCACGAAAGUGGUGUUUUCCCUUACCUGAAAACACUCAUAGUAAAAAAAUGUUCUAAACUGGAGGGUAAGCUGCCAGAGAACCUCAAUUCUUUAGGUAAGCUUGAAAUUGUUGAAUGUGAAGAAUUAGUGGUUUCGACUGCCAACUACAAACAACUUCGUCAAUUAAACAUUGACGGUUGUGAAGUGUUGGUGCAUACAGCUGCUAAGGUUGAGUUUGAGUUAUUAGAGUCCUUGUGGCUUUCAAGCAUUUCAGAGGUGAUGUCUCUACAAACAGGAGAAUUGUUCAACAAGGGAUUAAGCAAGGUUAAAGAUUUGAAGAUUAAUGGAUGUGAGGAGGUGACGUCUUCAUUCAGGAAUGAGGCUAGAUUAUUGCAGCAGUUGACUUCUCUUGGCUGUUUGGAAAUUGAAGGCAACUCUCUUCUAGUUGAAGAAUUGGGAAAGGAAGCAGAGGAGUUGCAAACAUUGGAGUGCAGGAUUGAAUGUCUGGAGUUAAACAAGUGCGAAAAUCUUAUGAAGCUACCAAAAGGGUUAAAUCAAUUGUCGUUUCUUCAAAAGCUUGGCAUACACGAAUGUUCACGUCUAGUUUCUUUCCCAGAUGUUGGUCUGCCACCUUCUCUUAAAGACAUCGAGAUUACAUCGUGUGAUUCGUUGAUAUAUUUUGCAAAAUUCCAGAUUCCCCAAAAUCUCAGAAGAAUAGAGAUAAGAGAGUGCAAAAGUUUGAAAUCACUAGUAGAGGAUGAGGCUUUUGGUUCUUCCUGGUCGUCUUCUUCUCAUAGUUGUCUUGAGUACUUGUUUAUCGAUGGAUGUAAAACUCUGACGUCGUUAUCAUUGAGUGGCCAGCUUCUCAGGACACUUAAACACUUUCAGACAUACAGAUGUGAACAACUGGAGUUAAUUGCACAAGAUGGGUUCUUCUACGACAACACUAAUUACUGUCUUGAAUAUUUUAGGAUAUGGAAGUGUGAAAAUCUGAAAUCCUUACCGGAUGGUUUAUGCCACCUCAGCAAUCUUCAAAAGCUACAUAUUCAAGAAUGUGGAAGUCUUGUUUCCAUCCCGAGACUGAGUGGGGGGAAAAGACCCUCCAACCUGAGGGAGAUCGAGAUCAGAAAUUGCGAGAAAUUGGAGGCGUUGCCCGAAGACAUGCACAAUCUCAACUCUCUUGAGGAUUUGAGAAUCGACUACCGUGAAGGUUUGACUUUUCCUCCCAACCUCACAUCACUUACAAUUUGGAAAGUCAAGAGCUGUAAGUCAUUGUGGGUGUUGGAGCGGGGGUUGCACAGACUCACCUCUCUUAGCAAGUUGGGGAUCUAUGGUGAUAACCCGGAUACGGUGUCGUUUCCACCAGACAUGGUCCGCAUGGAGUUGCUCCUCCCUAGAUCUCUCACUCAACUCCAUAUUUGUGGCUUCCCGAAUCUGAAGAAACUGAGCAGCAAGGGCUUUCAAUUCCUCACCUCCCUUCAAUCGCUUACACUAUGGAAUUGUCCAAAGCUAGCAUCCAUUCCAGAGGAGGGUCUGCCUCCUUCACUUACGAAACUUUGGAUCUUUGGGUGUCCUGUGCUAAAAGAGAGAUGCCAACCAGGAAAAGGACGCUACUGGCACAAAAUAUCCCACAUUCCUUCCAUGCAGAUAUAGAUUUUAAGAUGAUUUGAAGCUGAUGGUCGAUUCGAUCCCAUUCUCUAGGUUCAGGUAUCAUCUUCUCAAGGAAUGUUUAAUGCCAUGGUCUUCCCCCCAGAAAGCUUUUGCUGCAUAUCUGAAGGUACUUUUAUGGUUUAAAGCCAUGGUCUUAGUAGCUAUUGCUUUGGCAUUUUUGGCUAGUCAAUUUUUAGAUACUGCUGGACUAAGUUCCAAUAUGCUCAUUUGCAGUCCUCUUGCCCAGAAACCAUCAAUUAAACAACAGCAGAAUGCGAUAAACUCUAUUCAGUAUACUCUUCAGUAAUAAGAGCUUUUGAUCAAGAAGAGGUAAUGUUUACCUUUAUUCUCAUUUUUCCUUUCCUUGCUCUAAACUACUUUUGUGCUGGCAGUUUGGUUGUUAAAGGAGCAAUUUUCCUUCUGCAAAAUGUAAAAUGCCUGUAGUUACUGCCUAUUGAAACCAAGAUACUUGUAAUAAUUGGUUUUUGUUUCUCGUUGCAGAUUUUCAAAGUCUAUUUGUGGACAGUUUCUUGAGCAGGCGACACCCUUUCAAGCCGAAAUGUAAUUGUUAUCUCAGAUAAUUGGCAGACUGAUUGUAGUUUAGAAGAGUAACAAGUUCCAUUGGCAGAAGGCCAAUUGCCUAAGCUAUUGAGUAAUUUGGUCAGCAUCUCCUGCUGCUUUCUUGUUUCUUUGGCACCGCCACUUCGACUGCCACUGGUUAGUAUAGGGCUUCAUAUCGGAUGGAAGAUGUCUAAGAGGACGCUUUCUCCAAAUAAAAAAAAAAAAGCAUAUCUGAAAACUUUCUGAUACAAAUCACCAACUGGGUAAGCUGAAAGUUUAGAAAUUUCCAAUUGAUUAAGCUCAAAGGUGACAAAUUUCCAAUUGGGUAAGCUCAAAGUUAAAAAAUUGUCAAUUGAGUAAGCUCAUAUUUCACCCCCUUUCCAAUUAAUGAAGGACACUAUAUAACUUCUUACGGAUACAAUUUAUCAAAACGUACCUAUUGUGAUUAAUUACCCUUGUAUUAUUCAAAUGUGAUAUCAAAAUGAUAGCGUACUUACCCUAAAAAAAUUAUUUAUGGCCGUUACACUUUUAGACUAUACACAUGAAUUAGUCAUUCAAAACAUAGGAACAAUUGCCAUGCGUUUUCCUAGUCUGCCAAAUGAUCAACUUUGUCUUCUUGUCCUUUGUGUUGUGUUAAGGUAGUUGUUGUAUUUUUGCCCCCUUUUAUAGAUAAAUGAAGGGCACUACGAACCUUCACAUAUAUAUUAUAAAAUUGAUUAAAAAAAGCAGUUUUAAAAAGCGAAAUUAUAAGUGCCACCAUUUGUCAAAAGAUGUUCACAAUAAGUUUGUGACUAAUUUUCUUUAUAUUAUUCUAAUUUUCUUUAUAUUAUUCAAGAAAUAUAAUAUCAUGAUAACUGUAUAUUGUUUUAGUACCGUUACACUUAAAACUAGGCACAUGAAUCAAUUCUUCAAAACAUAAAAGUUUUUCUAAUUAUUUUUCUUUGAUGCUAAGUUAUUCAUCGCGCAUUAUUGUGUUAUAUUUGAAAUAUUGACUCAAUGAUAAAGUAGAUAAGUGAUACUCGAAAGAAUAUAACUUAUUAACUUUUGUUGUACGUGGAUUGCCAUGAGGAUAGUGGAACUGCAACUUUUCUAGCAUGUGGAAUUCUGACACAAUCGCAAACCUAAUCCUUUUAAAAAUUGUUUGUUUUGUAGCUUUCUUAUCUUUUAUAUUUUGUUUUAGAGAGAUUUUGUCUUUUAUUUUUUUAUCUAUGUAUUUUUUUUUACAAAGAGUAAGGUUUAUGUUUUUUUUUAUAUCAAAAAAAUUCCUUGUACCAUUGAGAUAUUACCAAAAUAAAAUGACAAAAGAUAAAUAAUCUAUAUUAAAUUCAUCUAAAUUAUGGGAAGAACUAGGAUUUAAACCCAAAAUACUGGGGCAAUCCACUUGUAAUAACUUCACUCCAUCAUGAAUCUUACUCAAUUUUCAUUUCUUAAACAUCUAUUCAAGGGAUAGGCUUUUUAGCCAAAAUAGUUUCUGAGAUUUACAUAACUCAUCAUUUUGUUUCUGAGAUUUGAAAUCAAUAUAAGUGGUCUAUAAGAUUGUCUACCAUCAAUCAUUUUGAUUAUUCCGUGAAACAUUAUGUUAAAUAAGGAUCAAAAUGAUAAAAUACAUUUAAUUUAAUAAACAAUAGGCCAAAAUGAUCUGACAAAAAUUAAGAAUAUUUUUGUCAUUUUAUUCUUAUUUAAUGAAUAUUUUUCAUAGAAUAACCAUUAAUGUGGACAAUUUCAAGAAUCAAUUCUAUUAAUUUCAAAUCUUAAAAACCAAAAUAAUGAAUUAUACAAAUUUAAAGAACUAUUUUAACUAAAAAAUCUUCGGGACAUGGUAAGUAUAAGUGUGGAGUUACUGCUCUUGUGACUAAACGAUGGAAAAGCCGAAUCAGGACUCAUGGCGGCGACUUCGGUAAAAUCUAGUGUCGGUAGGGUUAAGAGCUCUUGGGGUGUUUGCCAAUUUCCAAUGCUUUUUCGUGAUCUGCCAAAUCAUCAACUUUGCUUUCUUGUCCUUCCAACUGUGUGGCUCACGAUAAAAGUUGCAUUUUUACUCCUCAUCUUAAAUUAGGAUGUACUUUCAUCAUAUAUUUUAAAAGAAAAACUAAUGAAAAGGUUUUGAAAACUUUGAGUUUUAAUGAUAAGGAUAAAAUAAAGGGUAAAGUAAAUAGUACCAGGAUUGACUUUUUAAUGUAAAAAUAUGAUUUUUCGUUAAAGUGAACAUUACAGAGUGCUUUUCGUUAAAGUUCCCUAUUUUAAAUUCUGUUAUGUAUUUUUAAUUUAACUCUGAUUAAUUUUUAUAUUAAACAUUUUUUUUAAUUUACAAAUUUAAUCAUCUUAACAUUAUUUUUUUUAUUUUUUUAUAACAAAAAUUUAUGACCCAAGGAUAGUAAAGAGGGGAUAACAAAAAUUUUUGCCACAAAGGAUAUAUCAUGGUAAAUUGAAUUAUUGAAGAGCUCUAAAGUCUUUUGCCAUAUGGAAUCUAGAAUUGUUGAUUUUCAUAAGCGAUCAGAUCGAUGGAAACGCGUCCCUUCAUCUUCUUGAUCAUCCGAGAACUUCAAUUAAUUUAGUAAGUUCUUCUUCCAGCUAUAUCUAUAUGGGAAAUCCAUUAUUUAUUCAUUAAAUAUUUCAUUUUCUUCAUCUUAAUUGCAGCUAUAUAUAUAUGGUUUAAUGUUCAACACUUUGUGCAGUCUUAAGCUCGAGAGAUCAAGCUUCCAGGGAACUACUUAAAUCUUAAUUGCACUAAAGUUUUCAACUGAUCCUCGGAAGCAAGUGUCCUCGUGAUCCGACGACUUCCAUGUAAGUUCUUGCUACACAUCCGGUUUUAUAUUCAUUCGAGUUUCGAGUUAUGUAACUUGUCGUGUCCUAAAUUAAUAGUGGUAGUUUAAAAUGUAAACAAUAUAUAAUUUUUGACAUAUCUGAUUGAGCUUCUGUGUACCCAUAUAAUUAGUUUCAUCUGCUUAAAUUGUGCAUUUGUGACUACCAUGUGCUGCUUCUUGUGCUUUGUGCUGUGCGCUCAGGACAAUAGUUUUUUAUUACACAGAGGAAACAGGAGAAGACAAAAUUAUGCCCUGCGACAAUGAAGAGAUAGAGAAAAGAAAGAGGAGGAUUUAUCAUAGCAAAUUGAACUAUUGAAAGCUCUGAAGUCUUUGUCGUCUGGAAUCUGGAUUCUUCGACUCCAAUACGAGAUCAGAUCAGAUCAGAUGCAAUCAAGUCUCUUCGUCUUCAUGAUCAUCUGAAAACUUCAAUUUAAUGCAGUAAGUUCUUCCAAUUAUAUUUAUAUGGGAAAUCCAUUAUUUUUAUUUAAUUAUUUCAUUUUCUUCAUCUUAAUUACAGCUAUAAAUAAUAUAUAUAUUUAUGUGGUUUAAUGGUCAACAGUUUGUGCAGUUUUAAGCUCGAGAGCUCAAGCUUUCAGGGAACUACUCAGUCUUAACUGCGCUAAAGUUUUCAACUUCAACAAAAACUUGAUCCCUGGAAACAAGUGUUCUCUUGAUCUGACGACCUGACGACUUUCACGUAAGUUAUUGCUACGCAUCUGGUCCUCUUACUAGUGUAACGUGUUUCAAGUUGUGUACCGUGUCGGAUUAUAAAUUAAUAAUGUUAUUUUAAAAUGUAACAAAGAUAUGAUUUUGUAGUCUCGAAUUUAUCUUUUGUGCUUUGUCUGUCAAAUUAAGCAAUUUUGAGUAAAACGUAAUUGAACUUAUCAUGUAAUUGAACUAUUUGACAGUAAAACGUAACGUGACUCACAUACCCGAUGGAGCCCGUGUACCCAAAUAAUUAGUUUCAUCUGUUUAAAUUGUGCAGAUGUGACUACUUGUGGGUCUUGAUUGGUAUUUUUUCAACGGAUCAAACUUCCAAUUCAAGAAACUAUGGCGGCAGAGGCUUUUCUUGUGUCAUUCCUCCACUUGCUGGUUGACAAGUUGGCGCGUCGCGACGUCUUGAAGUACUUUGGACUCGUAAAAGGCGUCGAUAAGAAACUGACGGAAUGGAUUGCCACCUUGUCUGCAAUUGGAGCUGUGCUGAUUGACGCGGAGAAAAGGCAACUGGCGGAUGAGAGCAACAUACUGAAGCUCUGGCUCGAUGAUCUCAGGGACUUGGCUUUUGAUGCGGAAGACGUGUUGGAUAAAUAUCAUACUGAAAUGUUGAAACGUCAGAUACAUCAUGCUCAUUCCAGCGCAACAAGCAAAGCAUGGAAAUCAAUUCCUAAUGGUGUUUUCAACUUCAAGAUGAACUCAGACAUACAGAAGAUUACUGAGCGUUUACAAAAGAUAUCUGUACGAAAAGACCAGCUCGGUUUGAAAAUUGAUACUGGGACGUUGACUACAAGGGCACGCCAACACAUACCGCCUAGUUCUAGCCUACCAGAUGGACCUGUGAUUGGAAGGGAGGAGGACAAAAGGAAGAUUGUUGAGCUGCUGUCAAAACAAGAGCAUCGUGCUGUCAAUUUCGAUGUAGUUGCAAUUGUCGGUAUGGCUGGAGUCGGAAAGACAACACUUGCUGGACAAGUACUCAAAGAUAUGGUUGCAACCCAAAUGUUUCAACCAGCCGUUUGGGUGUGCGUAUCUGACAACUUCAACCUUGAAAGAGUGACAAAGCAAAUUCUUCAAUCAAUCACAUCUCGGCAAUAUACCACAGAAGAUUACGAGAAGGUUCAAAAUGAUCUGCAUAAGGAGUUAGCGGGGAAGAAGUUUUUAAUUGUUUUAGACGAUGUUUGGAAAACGUGUAGCUAUGGUGAAUGGAU